rnacentral:lncRNA from 1 species
GAGUUUUUUUUUUUUUUUUGUCAAAACAUUUGUGCCGCGUCACUGGACUUCGUCGGCCAAUUGCUUCAGGGAGCUCACGGAUUUGUUGCCCAUCGCCACUAACCUCCCGCCGGUAAGCCGGAGGAAUCACAUUGCGAUGGUCGGGUCGGUGUAGGAAAGAGCAGGCAAAAGAUGAGGCGCUGCAGGGGAGAAUGGCUCCUCGUGCCGUGCAUCAUCUCCGUGCUGCUCUUUGUACCAUUGGCCUGCGGACGAUUGCUCAUUGGCGCAAGCGAUAUGUCGCCGCCUGCACUGACACCAUCCUUCAUCAAGCAAGUAGACGAUUGGGUGAGUACAUUAUCCAUGUAUUUCAUCGCACUCGGUAGUAACAUCUGUAGUGAGAUGGUGCCAUUCCAUAGUUUGUGAUCAAGAGCAAAGUAGUUUAGUUUGGGUCAUCUUAAGAAGUGAGAAUUAACUUAUUAAGUAGUAUCAAUCCUUUUUGCAAGAGAAAAAACCGGUUCAGGAAGGCAGGAAUUGCCACCAUCGAGAUCAUAGAAUGAUAGAAUUGCAAGGAUUGUCCGGCUAUAUUUCUGGUAUGGUGUUUAGGUUGGUGCCUUCGCUCUAUUAGCUCAUGAUGCCGACAUUCAGAAUUGGCAUGUGGUGCUCUUCGAAUUACCUGUGACAGAAGAGAUAAGAUCACUGAAUUUCGAGGGGUUCCCAGAGGCCAAAGCUGUUUAUGAUUUUAUACUGCAAUUGAAAAUACUGACCAUCCAGAUUAAAACCCUGCAAGCAGAAGCAGAGAUUUUGAAACAAAAUAUUAACGUUCCCUCCUGUUAGGUACACAUCACUGCACUGGUCGAACAUCUUUAUGCGCUAAUGAUAUCUUUUUUUUUUUUAAUUAUUACUGCCUAUUUAAUGAGUAGCAUGUGUCGGAUUAAUUCUGUUAUUAUUGGUACUAUGAUGCAUGUAGAGUUAAGUAAGGAAUGUGAUGAUAAUAUGAUAUUUAGUCCAACAUACUAGUAACGUUUUACAGCAGGUAACCUUCAGCGUCGAAUUUGAUGGGAUAAAAAAUUGUACUCCCUUUGUUCACAAAUAUAAGAUGUUCUGACUUUUUUCUGAAUCAAAUGUAUAUAGACAUGUUUUAGUGUGUUUGUUCACUAAUUUCAGUUUGUAUGUAGUCCAUUUUGAAAUAUCCAAAAUAUCUUAUAUUUGUGAACAGAGGGAAUAGUUUCUAACUGCUGACUCUCACUGGUACUUCAUGGUAGUAGUUUAUAUUUUUAAUGGUCUGGUACUUCAUGGUAGUUUAUAUUAUUAUUCUGAAAAGGAUGCGCACCUACUUUAUCUCAUUAGCAUCUGUUUCUGAUUAAUUCUCAUGCACUGACAAGGGUGACUACUCGUUACGAUAUCUAUAGGUGGAACACGCGUGGCUCAAAUGUGGAUUGGACAAGAAAAGCCUUCAAGAUGUUAGAAACUACUACAACUACAACCAUGUACUUGAUAUCAUCCAUAGGAUAUCUGACAAUAAGGGAACUUCCCCUGUCAUUGAAAAAGGUGCCAGCUCAUUGACCCCAGAAAUCAAGCAAACUUUGCUGAUCUGCUUAAGCAAACAGAGUUCUGAGGUUGCAAAUAACCUACCCGAUGGUUAUAUCAAAACACUUACCGCCUCAAUAAGAGGAGAGCUGGCUCCGGGACCUGCUCCUGCAAAUGAAGCAGUAAAACCUUCGCCAGGGAAACCAGCUGAGGGUGCUUCAUCAGAAGCAACUACAAAAAAGGCAGUGCCUGCAACUAAAUCAGUAGGAAAAAAGGACAGCGAUGGCAUGCCAACUACCAAUGUCAUUGGUGUGUCCUUGGUUGUUAUAGCACUUUUAGCUCUUCUCUGCGUUGGCUGCUGCAUGUACCGUGAAAGCCAGAGUUCUGCGGCUUCUGCCUAUGAUAAUAAGCAACUCCUGAAUCUAUGUAAUGUCUUGUAUCAUCCAUUUUGCUCCAAGUCAAAGUUUUCCUCUCUUCUACCACUGACUUUUAUGCUUUCAUUUGCAGCGGAUUCUUGCAAGUCUUCCAGUGUAAAUCUAAUAGAUGUCACUAAGCUGGGAGCAUUGCCAUUGCAGUCAGAGGCUGGCCAAAAUGGCCAUGUGAAUCAAAGUUCACAGGAAGGCCCAAACACUGAUGAAAUUGGCUAUGUGAGACUAAGUUCACAGGAAGGCCCAAACACUGAUCAAAAUAACCAUGUGAAACUAAGCUCACAGGAAGACGCAAACACUGGUCAAAUUAGCUAUGUGAAACUAAGCUCACAGGAAGACCCAACCAGUGGCCGAAAUAGUGAUGUGAAGCUAACUUCGCAGGAAGACCCAAACACUGGCCAAAAUAACCAUGUGAAGCUCACAUCGCAGGGAAGUGCAAACACUGAUCCAGCAAGCUACAGCAGUUCCACCGAGUCAAUGGCUGCUUCUGUUGGUUCUGUGCAAGGAUCAACACCAAUGAUGCCACCUCCAGCACAUCCUCAAGUACUUGCGCCUCAACCAAAGGCUCCUCCUCCACCACCAGCUCCUCAAGCACUUGUGCCGCCUCCGAAUGCUUCUCCAGUUCUUUCCUCUGGACCUUCACCGCCACCAGCUCCAAAAGCCUCCCCGCCUCCUCCCUCAGGACCCUCACCACCUACUUCUCCAAAAGCUGCACCACCACCACCACCACCAUCAAAAUCUGGUGGACCUCUCCCGCCACCACCAGCGCUGCCUGAUUCUUCCAAAAUGCGUCCACCAUCACUUAUGAAGUCAGGCAAUAAAGCAGACACAGAUGCGGAUUCUAGUGAAGCUAAAACAAAGCUUAAGCCCUUCUUUUGGGAUAAAGUAGCAGCAAAUGCUAAUAAAUCAAUGGUGUGGGAUCACCUUAAAGCUGGAUCAUUCCAGUAAGUUGGUAGAGAUAGCUGAGCUAUAUACUCCCUCCGUUCCCAAAUAUUUGUCUUUCUAGGCAUUUCAAAUGGACACAACAUACGGAUGUAUGUAGACUUAUUUUAGAGUGUAGAUUCACUCAUUUUGCUCCGUAUGUAGUUACUUGUUGAAAUCUCUAGAAAGACAAAUAUUUGGGAACGAAGGGAGUAGUUAUCUAGACAAAUUCUUAGAUUUGUGUAGAUACGGAUGUAUCAAGUCACGUUUUAGUAUUAGAUACAUCCAUAUCUAGACAAAUCUAAGACAAGAAUUUUGGGACGGAGGGAGUACUAUUGUAAGAUCGCACCAUUUUAUAACUAAAUGGUACUUCUUCACAGGUUAAGCGAGGACGCUAUUGAAACACUUUUUGGUUGUAAUGCUGACAAGAAGAGUGGUGAUGCCAAAAAAGAUUUAACAUCAAAGGAAGCUGCCCAAGUUGUGAGGAUACUUGAUCCUAAAAAGGCACAGAACCUGGCCAUAUCAUUGAAGGCGUUGAGUGUUUCAGCAGAGGAAGUUUCUUGUGCAGUUAAGGAAGGUAAAGUGUACUGUCACUCGUUUAUACUGUGCAAGUGCACAGCUCUUCCUGGAUGAAAUGCGGCUUCUUCUGAUUCUUGCCAGUCUUGUAGAUACAGUUAUUUUAUUUUAUUUUGGGCAAAUCUCCAGUUUUUUUUUAAGUUGCAGUGAUACAUUGAAUACUUAUCCAGCUUCUGGUCUAUAACUCCAUGCAAUAAUAUAUCAGCUGCGUAUAUCAUUUGUGUCUUCACAAUCAGGAGUUGCGGCUAUUCUUCUGUGCUAAGGACAAUGAAUCACUUGAUUUCAUUUGCUUCUUCUAUUUUUCAAAGCAAAUAGUACACAUUUCUGCUAAACUGAUGUGAGUCUUGUCUUCUAGGUUAACUCUAAUUCUUGAACUAAUAACAAAGUCAGCAAGAUUAUGUAGCAUGCAAGUGAUGUCAAAUGCUCAAAUCGGCAUUUGGUUCUAGACUUAACCACAUUUGUGUACAUCUGGCCUCCAUAUUUUGGAAUGGACGCCUCAAGCAUGGGUUCAUGUGCUUCUGACUAUUCUAUUUGGACAUUUAGAACAAAGAACAUGUUGAUUAAAUCCUAUUUCCUGAUAACAUCUUUUGCCUUAUCAAUUUCCCUUGAUAAUUUGUAGGAAAUGAACUUCCAUCCGACUUGAUACAGACCUUAAUUAGAUGGGUCCCGAGUACUGAUGAGGAGCUCGGGCUUCGACUAUAUACUGGGGAACUCUCACAGCUUGGUCCUGCAGAGCAGUUCUUAAAAGCAAUCUUCGACAUUCCUUAUAUCUAUGAGCGCCUGGAUGCAUUACUUUUCAUGGCUGGUUUACCAGAGGAAGCUUCAAAUGUAAAGCAAUCUUUUGCCACCUUAGAGGUAAUAGCAUUACCAUUAUGACCUGUUUGGCUUCCACACUAUAUUCAGUUCUGUCGUAUGACUUGUAUCAGUCUUGUUUGAUGCUCUCUAGUCCUUUAACCGAUGAACAUUUUUAUCAAGUAAUAAUAGAGAUUAUCGUAGUGUAGAUGUUUCCACUCUUCCUGCACCUUGAUGUUUCUACCGAUCUUCUUAUCUCUGCUAUCUUGGCAUUUAAAUCCUGAUCAGAUGGCUUGUGAGGAGCUUAAAAACAGCCGUCUAUUCUUGAAGUUACUAGAAGCUGUUCUUAAAACAGGGAACCGGAUGAAUGUUGGCACGUUCCGAGGAGGAGCUCAAGCGUUCAAACUAGACACCCUGCUCAAGCUUUCCGACGUCAAAGGAACUGAUGGGAAGAUAACGCUGCUGCAUUUUGUUGUUCAAGAGAUGAUCCAUUCUGAAGGUGUCCGUUCUGCACGGGCUGCAAAGGAGCAGACGGGCAGCAUAUCCAGUGUGGACAAGAAUGAUCUUAUUGAAGACGAAUAUAAACAACUAGGUCUGCAGGUUGUGUCCAGUUUAGGAGAUGAACUUCAAAAUGUCAGGAAUGCAGCAAUCCUUGAUGCAGAUCAGUUGACUAUGUCGGUAACAAGUGUUGGCCACAGGCUUGGCAAAACCAAAGAAUUCUUGAACACAAGCAUGAAAAGUCUGGAUGAAGAUAGUGGGUUUCACCGCAAGCUUGUGCAUUUCGUGGAGCAGUCUCAAACUGAAGUUACUUUCUUGCAAGAGGAAGAGAAGAAAAUACGGUCCUUGGUAAAGAGCACUGUCAAUUAUUUCCAUGGGAGGACAGGGAAGGAUGAGGGCCUUCGUUUAUUUGUCGUAGUGCGGGAUUUUCUUGCAAUGCUUGACAAGGUGUGCAAUGAGGUGAAAGAAGCAUCAAAAGUAGCUCCAAAGAAAACGAAGACUGAAGUUACUCUGCCUUCCCGCACACCCAGAUCUUUCCAAGAUCCCCGGCGUAACCUUUUUCCGGCAAUUCAAGACCGGAGGGCACAUAGUUCAAGCUCUAGUUCUGACGAGGGAAGUUAACUCUAAACGAAGGUACUCUACCUACCUUUUCCUUGCAGCGCUUGGAGGUUUGCCCUUUGAAAACAUUAGUGAGAAGAGAUGGAAAAUCAGAGCUAAAGAAAAGGCAAGAGAUGGAAAAUUGACGAUAAAGCCAACUCUGGCUUUGGUCACUUGUUGCAGCAACAGAAUAAAAUUGCUGAAGGAAGGCAGUCAUCUUCCAUAACGUCCUUGACAGGCAAUUGUUGCACUUUGGCUCCUAUAUCAAACAAACAAAGGUGAUAUUCACGAUCAAGAUGGAGAAGUCGAAACGGAAGCCGUCGAAAGGGGUGGCGAAGAAAACUGACCCCUUAGUUAGGGCGUGCAUAACAGGGAGGGAGGAAGAAGCAGCAGGCUGGUUGACUGACUGUGUGACACUGCCUGCUGUUUUUUCGCUUAACAUUUGUACCAUCACAGAAAGGAGAGGAAUAAAUACAGCAUUAGAAAGAAAGAGAUGCACCACACGGGCUCAUAAACAUUGGAUUCUUUUGCUUGCGCUUGACAAAUACUUUUGCAAAGAGCAAUGCUGUAAAUUGUCAUACUUUCAACUGAAACAUCCUGUGUGUUCGCGACUUGGUGUGCCUUUUGCAAUGUACCAGAUUCGCACUGCUGUGCUGUCGUCUGGAUAGUCAGGGCACCCAAAACAAUGUGCAGCGCUGCUAUAUGUGGACUGAUAAUUGUUUCAUUUCCCUUGCCAUUUCUUUACGGAAUCCUUUUUUAUCCCGGGUGUUAGAUCGCAAGCAUUUCCUGCCAAAAUGUCUUGCUCGUGAAAAACUUCGCCAUCUACUCCCCGCCAAAAUUCCAUUAUCACUAUCUCGAGCCGUAGCACAACUACGGAUUGUAAAGAAGAGCACACAUCUCGUUGUCGAACAGCUUCGCAGAUUAAUAUUAGUAGGAUUUCGCAUCUAUAUCUCGUUUUCUAACCAUGAAACAAUAGGCAAGAAUUGACCAUGGAAAGAACAGAGCAACGAAUUGGCAAGUAAGUAAUCCAUAGGUGCAACGUUUUAUAGAACAUAGCAACGAAUUACAGAGGAUGUAACCAUUGUCCACACCUAGUUUAGCAUCGGUACAAGCACACAGAUUCAGAAACUAAUAGUAGUACUAACAUCCUAGUAGUAGUAAAACGCAACACCUAGGCAACACUUAACUGAACACGCUACUACACAGAACUGGAUACAGCCGAGCACCCACGACCUCAGAGGAGGAGUCGUCAUCUAGCUAUCGUCGUCGGCAGCCACGGCCUUGCUGCCUCCGGCCUUCUUGGGGAGCAGAAGGUUGUGGAUGUUGGGCAUGACACCGCCGCUGGCGAUUGUGACCAUGCCGAGCAGGCGGGAGAGCUCCUCGUCGUUGCGGACGGCGAGCUGGAUGUGGCGCGGCACGAUGCGGGUCUUCUUGUUGUCCCUCGCCGCGUUCCCGGCCAACUCCAGAACCUGCACAAACAAGGGAAUCGCAACGGUUACUUCCAAAAUUCCACAAAGCUUCGAGUGGAAUUAGCAAGCAGAACCACCUAUGCCCAAACAAAUCUGAGAGCCGGCAGACGCAAGUAUUAUCCUCAUCCGAACCCUAGAAAUAUUCCCCACUUUGCCGAACCAACCACUGAUCGACGGGUCACCAACCUCUCGAAUUCACCACAAAAAACAGCAAAAUCAGGCAGCGGAUAACAGAAUCCCACGAACCUCAGCGGCGAGAUACUCCAGCACGGCGGCGAGGUAGACGGGGGCGCCGGCGCCGACCCUCUCGGCGUACUUGCCGGCCUUGAGGAACCGCGCGAUCCUGCCGACGGGGAACUGGAGCCCGGCCUUGGAGCUCCUGGAGAUGGCCUUCUUGGCGGCGCCCGAACCAAUCGCCUUGCCCCUUCCGGCCAUGUCUACAGUACUCCGAGGGGAUCCGCGGUUGUGAAAUGGAAAGCGAGGCGCCGGGAGGAAGUGCGGAGGCGGUGUGGUGUGGGUAUUCGGCUGGUAGGCAGGAACGGUGGGUGGGGAUUGGGUUAUAUAGGCGAGGGGAUCCAAUGCGAGGGGAAUGCGCGGAUCGGUGACGUGGCGGAGAUUACGUGCGCCGAGCGGCGAGAUCCUGUCCGUCAGAUGGGAAGAGCCGUGGAGCGGUUGGUUUUUGGCUUGCCGCCUCGGAUUUUCACCGUUUCGGGGUCGGUCGUACGCCGCCAGCUGCUCUCCGCGGCUAUGGGCCGCCGGCUUUGGGGCUUCUGUUCGGUUAUUUCUCUUUUUCUUUUCCUUAUGUCAGAGAUACGUGUUUCUUUGAAAGGAGGCGCUUGCCCGGCCUUAAACUAAAGCACUUACAAAUCCAACAUGACCGUUAAAGUGACGCAAUAUUUAACGAGCAACAAAGCAAAGCAAAAGAGAUACAUGCCCGAAGGCGGAUACAUAGCGGCGCAACGCUAGCAUAGACGAUGAAAAAAGGGAACUGUUACAAAUCAGUCGGAUGAUUUUCUAAGAAAUCAUCCGGCUAGGCAGUUGUCUGCUCAGCGCCUGGUAACCGUUGGAUGGCAACAACGUCACGGGAGUAGUAAGCAUGUGAUUGCUUCAACGCAGCGCUGCUGCACCCUGACAAAAGCUCCACUGCAGCUUAGCGGCGUCCAACGAAGCUCCAACGCUGCGCCGACGGCCGGCGAAGCUUUAAUGCAACUCCGGUGGAGCUCCAAUGUAGCACCAACGGCGUCCGGCGAAGCUCCAAUGCAACUCCGACAGAGCUCCAACGUAGCAACGGCGGCUCGGGCAAAGCUCCAAUGCAACUCCGGCGGAGCUCAAACGCAGCACCGACGACGCCCGAUGGAGCUCCAACACAUCACCAAAGGCUCCGGUGAAGCUCCAAUGCAACGUGUGGCUGAUGCCUCAUGGCAGCGCCGGCGGCGUGGUGAACCUUCAUUGCAGGCGGUUGAGGAGAGAUGCCCCGUCGCAAUAGCAGCUCCGCCGCCCGUCGAGAUCUGCGAGGAUACAACACCACUCGUGCUUCCUGGAAGCAUCCCCGCAACCGACGAGAUACAGCAAUUGCAACACUCCUCCUCGACAGCACCGGCGGCGUGGCAUCCGACAUGCUCGACAACACCAGCCACAUGGAUAGUUGACGACGCUCGGCGAACACUAACUGCAGCAACGGUCGUUGCGGGUGCUGUGGGGUGCUAGGCACGCCGCCGCCUGGCAACAUCAGUUCACCACCGGCGAUGGUGGCAGUAGCUUGCAAUGCCGUUGGNNNNNNNNNNNNNNNNNNNNNNNNNNNNNNNNNNNNNNNNNNNNNNNNNNNNNNNNNNNNNNNNNNNNNNNNNNNNNNNNNNNNNNNNNNNNNNNNNNNNNNNNNNNNNNNNNNNNNNNNNNNNNNNNNNNNNNNNNNNNNNNNNNNNNNNNNNNNNNNNNNNNNNNNNNNNNNNNNNNNNNNNNNNNNNNNNNNNNNNNNNNNNNNNNNNNNNNNNNNNNNNNNNNNNNNNNNNNNNNNNNNNNNNNNNNNNNNNNNNNNNNNNNNNNNNNNNNNNNNNNNNNNNNNNNNNNNNNNNNNNNNNNNNNNNNNNNNNNNNNNNNNNNNNNNNNNNNNNNNNNNNNNNNNNNNNNNNNNNNNNNNNNNNNNNNNNNNNNNNNNNNNNNNNNUGAGCGGUGUGUGGCCCCACAGGACGCGUGUCGUGCGUCGGAUACGGUUUACGCCAGCGUGAAAUCAACCGACUGAUUGUAAACGUUUUCCAUGAAGAAAACGCUAAGGCCCUGUUUGCUUCAAAGGAGUUUCAUGGAAUCGUACAGGUAGCGGUUUCCCGUGGGAAAGUUUCCUUUCAGCCUGUUCGCUUCAUAGGAAUGACAUUCUCAGUUCCUCCAAAAAGGUGUCUUAUCCUUUGCUUUUCACGGGAAAAUAAACAUUCACCAAGAUUUCAUGCUUUCGCGAAUGGCCGAAGCGAAGCGCAGGUUUCAGACUAAACAAAUUAAUAUACAACCAAUAAACAACUCCAUGGUGGGUCAUAGGCUGGAGGUUCUUUGCAUGCAGAUGCAGCUGAAUAAAAAUUUAUGAACAGUACACUUCAAUCAAGUUUCCGUGGGCACUUGAUGUGCUCUCUCAGAACGCACGCCUUUUACCUUUUCCUCUGUUUUAUACCCUCCCAUGUUUUAGAAUUGCGUCUUUCUCCAAUCUUGCAACUUUUCCAAUCCUCUUGUUUAGGUUCCUAUGUCCCGAACGGGGCCUAAAGGCUAUCAGGAUAGCGAGGGGCGGCGGCUUGCUAGUGGUGUCCCCUAUGUCGAACGUCGAAGCUCAGUGCAUCUUGCUCGCACCCUUGAGACGAGCUCCCCCACGUGUCCACUAGUAGCUUCCAUAGCUGCAAGAAAGACACCCGUUUGUAUAACAGAUCAACUGGAUGUCUGAUGAGUUGUCCCUCUAUCAAAGCUUUAUUCCUCGUCACGAUCCGCCUAUCCCUCCCAUUAGUGGAUGAUACCAACCAAUAGAACUCUGAGAACCCACUCGGAUUCCAUGAGGAGCAUGCUACUGUCCGUACAGCGCUCCACACAAAUUGGGCCAUAAUGCAUUGAAAUAAGAUGUGAUCAAGAUCAUCACAUUCCCCACACCAGAUGCAUUUACCAUCGCCCCGACCUUUUCUUUUAUACACUUCGUCACCACUCGUGAUUCUAUUGCGUGCCACUUGCCAUAGAAAGAUUUUUAUUUUGGCAAGUAACCUUGCCUUCCAUACCCCGGAUAGGUCACAAGGGGUUACAAAUUUGAAGAUCUCCUUCUAUAAAGAGCCUAUAUAAAAUUGGCCGGAUGGCUCCAAAACGCCAAACUACCUCGUCGGUUCCCUGACUAAGCUGGUGCCCUCGAAGUUUUAUACAUAGGUUUCCCACUCUAUGACUUCUGCGUCCCCAAGGAUCGGCGGAACUAUGGUGCCCAUUGGCCAUGUUGCCAUUGUUGGGAAACGUUGUGUGGGAAACAAAAAAUUUCCUACGCUCACCAAGAUCAAUCUAGGAGAUUACCAUCUACGAGAGGAGAGAUUGAAUCUACAUACCCUUGUAGAUCGCUAAGCAGAAACGUUGAGAAACGUGGUAGAUGUAGUCGGAUGUCUUCGCGAUCCAAUCAUGAUCUGUCACGCGAACUCCCGAUCCAAGUGUCAAACGAACAGCACCUCCGCGUUCCACACACGUAUGGCUUGAUGACGCCUUCACCUCCUUGAUCCAGCGAGCGAUGGUGAAGUAGUAGCUCGAGUCCUCCAGCAGCACGACGGCGUGGUGGCGGUGGUGGUGGCGAAAUCUCAGUAGAGCUUCGCUAAGCACUACGGAUAUGAAGAGGGAUGUGAGGGAGAGGAGAGGUAGCGCCGUGGCGUAGAGAUUGAAGGAAAUAUGCCCUAGAGGCAAUAAUAAAGUUAUUAUUUAUUUCCUUAUUUCAUGAUAAAAGUUUAUUAUUCAUGCUAUAAUAUGCCCUAGAGGUAUGCCGUCGAGGGAUAACGACUCCAGCUCCGCCGGCUCGGCAUGUUCGCCUCCGCGGCUAGGGCGCUCCUGGGAGCCAUCGCCUGCUCGUGAGAGAUCUUUCAAGGUCUCUGCGUGGCGGCGAGCCCCCUCUCUUUUUUCCGCAACCUUGGUCGUCGCUCCCUUGUUACGAGUAGUUCUCAACCUAGAGCUCUGCUCACCGGCCAUGGCAACGACGGACGAAGAAGAAGCACUUAUGAGGAGGAAACAUAGAGUAAUUUUCUGUUAGGUAGUUCCCCCUUUUAUAACCUAAGUACUAGCACUAGUACUAAUACCUGCAUAGUGGGAGCACGUUCAGGUUUGGUAUGUACUAGUAGGUGUGAGCAGUCUUUCGAAUGUGAUGGGAACAAGGUAAAGAUUAAUUGAUGGUUUUGGUUUCGAGGCCCGAAACGGCUCCCGAUGAGUUUAGCGGAACAUAAAUUUCAAGUACUACACUGCUCAAAUGCGUAAAUAUUAUGUUACUGUCAAAAAUUGGCACAAAACACGAAGGAGACCAAUGGAAGUACUACUAGCAACCCAUGAUUUAACUACUCGCAUGCGCGCAGUGGAGUAAUAAUGUCUUUCUUCCGCCCUCACGUCCACUCAAUUUGCAUGCGCUGUAUUAAUUGACCAUCAAUGAAGUGAACGACUUUACACGCGUAAAAUUAUCACAUGGGGUGGAUCUUGGUACAAAAUUGCAUCCGCCCAUGUACCCGCGUGUGCGUGCGAGGGAAUGAGUGCGUGCGUGGCAUGCGUGCACAUCUUCGCUUCACGCAUGUACCGCCAGUAUGGCUCAGGGAGGACGAGUACAUUCUUCUGGAACCAGCAACACGUCACUGUGAUCAAUCCACGCAAGGAGGUCGCGACAACGCCUUCACAUGUGUCACGUGGCUUCAUGAACUGUAAGAGAGACACUGUGUAGCGUGCCAUUGGUAUUAUAAUUUACGUGUUUUGCACAUACUCAAAGUACUAGUAAGGUACACGUGCAUUGCACGCAUCAAAUUUUGCAACCAAAUUAUGAAUAAAUACCACACUAUAGCAUAUAAGCUCUGAGUCAUAUAUGCCUGAUGUAGCCCUUCGUUUAAUUCUUAUAGUUCAUCUCAUUCAAAAUCAAUUAGUUUUUAUAAAAAAGCUAAGAACGCGGGAAUAGGAAAAACAUGGGAUUAUAGUGGAAUGUCGUCUUGAAUUCUACAGGAUUGUACGAGUGUUUGAUUGUGCAUAGAAAAAACGCAGAAUUCUUUCAAAGAGGUUUGAGUGGAUGGGAUGUUUCCUAUGAAAUCUAGUGCAAAUGAAUCAUAUGGACAAAUUCCUAUGGUUUACAAUCCUACGAAUCAAACAACCAAGAUCGAGAAAAUUCCUAAUGAUUAGAAUCCUCCAAAAUUCCUUUGAGAAUCCUUUGAAUCAAAGAAGCCCUUAAUCUAUUUUAUGAUUCAUGGAAUUGUGCGUUGUAAAGCAUAAAGUAAAAACAAAUAAUGGCAAUUCAACUAGAAAAAAGAAUUGGGCAGUUAUGAUACGGAAGAUUCUAGAACAAAAGAGAACCACUAUUGUUUUGAGGUUUCUGCAUUAUGCUUAAGUUCUACCAUGGAGUCUGAUAGAUUGUACAUGUGUCAAAAUCCGGUGGGGGGCUAGAAGAUAGUGCGAGGGGCCGAGUGGAGGGAGACUAUGAAGAAAUACACAAGUGCGAGAUCGAUAUUUAGAGAGAGGGGGCGAGAACGUGCACUGUUGCACGCAGUGGCGGAGCCAUGAAAAAUAAAUGAGCUAGGGGGGCAAGCAUUGCUAAUCCUUUACGAGGAGGGUCAAUUCAUGAACUUAAACCAUUUUUAGCAGCAAUUGUCUAAUGAUCACAUUCAUAUUAGCCUCGAUAUAUAGUGAUGUUAGGGGGGCAGGGCCCUUACUGCCCCCUGUCUUCGCCAUUGUGCACGCAUCUGAGAGAUGAAGCGGAAGGCAUGGAUGACAAGAGGGGGACGUUGGGUAUAUAAUUAAUGUGGGUGUAUUAGCUAUAUAUGUUAAUCCUAUAUAGAGAGGUAUAGAUUGAUCGAUGUGGACAUGGGAAAGAGGGUGAGACCUCACUGGAUAUAUCGAUUGAUUGGUUUGUGUGGAAAACUAUGAAAGACCUAGCUAUAUACACACAUACAUAGAGGAACAUCGAUCAUUGCGCAUGCACGCGUGAGAGAUAAAGAAUGCCCGAUAUGAUGGAGAGGGGGAUGUGUGUGGGUGUGUGCCUUCAUGGGAGACCGACCUGAAGAAAAAGAUUGCAUGUGUGCGAUGGAUAAUGCCGAUCGGUAGUGUGUGUGCAUGUAUGCAUAAAAGGAAGUUAGUGGUACAAUUAUAAAGAGAAGAUGACUGUGUGGGUGUAAAAGACUAGGUGAGGUCAUAAUCAAUGUAAAGUUGAAUUCAAAUAUUUGAAUAAGAGAUCCUGAUGUUUGAAACUCAUGCAUGCAUGAAUAUAACGGAGAUCUGCAUGGUGUGGUUUGGAAACGAGCAUGUUGUAAUGUAUACACAUUGAACAAGGUCAGCUGAUUUGAAUUUAAGAUACCGAUGGCAGACAUCAUUUGGCCACGUCGCAUCCAUGCAUGGACACACUAUUCUAAUUGAAUAUGAUGGGCGGCUUUCGCAUCACACAUCUAUAUCUAUACCCCUAUAUAUAUAUUAUAUAUAUUAUAUUUUUUAAUAUUGUGUGCGGGUAACUUUAACUUUGAAAGAUGGUCGUUGGAUAAGGUGAAUCCGAUGGUUCAAAGAUGACAAAUUUGAGCACUACUGGCCGUUGGAUAUCAUCUAGAUUUCACCAGAUUUCGCCACAUGUAUAAUCUAGAAGACUCCAUGGUUCAACUUAAGCAUAAUGCACAAACAUAAAAACACAAGCACUUCUUAUUUGUUCUAGAAUCUUCUGUAUCAGAAUUGCCCAAAUGUUUUUCUACAUGAUUUGCCAUUAUUUGUUUUUACUUUAUGUCUUACAACGCACAAUUCCAUGAAUCUUAAAAUAGAUUAGCUUUCUUAUAAAAACUAGAUGAUUUUGAAUGAAAUGAACUAUAAGAAUUAAACGAACAUCUACAUCAUGCAUAUAUGACUCAAAGCUUACAUGCUAUAAUGUGGUAUUUAUUCAUAAUUUGGUUGCCAAAUCUCAUGCGUGCAAUGCACGUGUACCUUACUCUAGUCUAAAUGGUGUUUGUGUGUGUGUUGUGCGUGUUGAGGUGCAAAUUGUCUUCUUUGUUUGGGUACACGUUAAGCUUGUUCUUCCGAAAUUUCAAGCCGCGCCUUGUUAUGCCGAAAAUUCAAGCUAGCGUCUCUGUCUAUCAUGCUGCGAAACUCCCGCCUGUUCAACCCGCGCCUUGUUAGCCCGAAAUAUUUAAGAUAUAUCUUUGUCUUGUUGUGCUCCGACAACUCCCUCCAUCUCAACCCGCGCCUUGCUAUUCCGAAAUUACAACGCGCGCGAAAACUCCCACCUCCUGUGAAAUCCCGACACGCGAAAUGUCCGUGGUACCCCUGAACCGAAAUAACCGCCUCAAAUCGGUGGGGGUACUUUUGUAACUUACCCCACAUUUCGGACAAGCGCGUCCCUAAGCCAUGGUUCCCCGCUGCCAUCCCAUCCGCCCACCCAUUCGUACACCGAGGCCGCGAAAACCCGUGAUGAAACCCCACACCCUGCUCCGUCCGCCACCCAGCCGGAGCCUCUUCCCCGACGACGUCAUCCACAGCAACACCUCGACGUCCCUCAUCCACCGUACCGGAUGAGGAUCCGUCAUCGAUCUCGUUGUCCCGCCGGUUCAGCCACCCCGUCCUCCACCUCCAAGGAGCUGCCCCGACAUUCCCCUCGUCUUUUGCGCCAUCUCCAUUCCCACACCGUCAUCUUCACCUGCACCACCGGAAGAGCAUCAUCAUCACCGUUUCCUUGGAUGAAGCUGCGGCCUAAUCGGCGCCACCAAAGUGGUUGUACACUAAUCGUCGCAUUUUCUUAUUGAUUCGAUCUCACGGUGCUGCCGGCGCUCAGUCCCGAGCCGACACGGCGCGGCUCCAUCCACGGCGGCGUCGCCGGCCACUUCCUCCACGGUGUCGCUCCCUCGGCGGCGACGUCCACAUCAGUAGGAGCUACUGCUGCUUUAGCUCUCGCUCACGCUGCUGCUCUGCUCUUGCUCUCGGUCCCCUGCCUGGUCUGCUCUUUCUAUUGCUCUUGCUCUCGCUCUUGCUCUUGCUUGCGAUGCUGCUCCGAUUUAGGUACACUUCAGUCGACUGAAUCGACUUUUGGGUCAGUCGAUUUUCNNNNNNNNNNNNNNNNNNNNNNNNNNNNNNNNNNNNNNNNNNNNNNNNNNNNNNNNNNNNNNNNNNNNNNNNNNNNNNNNNNNNNNNNNNNNNNNNNNNNNNNNNNNNNNNNNNNNNNNNNNNNNNNNNNNNNNNNNNNNNNNNNNNNNNNNNNNNNNNNNNNNNNNNNNNNNNNNNNNNNNNNNNNNNNNNNNNNNNNNNNNNNNNNNNNNNNNNNNNNNNNNNNNNNNNNNNNNNNNNNNNNNNNNNNNNNNNNNNNNNNNNNNNNNNNNNNNNNNNNNNNNNNNNNNNNNNNNNNNNNNNNNNNNNNNNNNNNNNNNNNNNNNNNNNNNNNNNNNNNNNNNNNNNNNNNNNNNNNNNNNNNNNGACCGGCGGUGGGGAGUGUUUUUGGGGCGGGCAGGGCGGCGCACCGCCGGCCGCGGGCGGCGGGGGGCUGCUGUUUGGCCGGUGGUGGCUGGCGGCUCGGAGGGGUGGAGGUUGAAGAUGAACCACAUGCCCUUGAUUUUGUAUCCAACGGCUGCAAAGUCGACUGACCAGAGAUGAAAAAGUCAGUCGACCGACAUGUAGCCUCACCUUGCUAGUGCGUUUAGUUUCGACAGAAAAAUUCAGUUUCGACAGCAAAAUUCAGUUUCGAUAGUUAAGUUCAGUUUCAACAGUUAAGUUCAGUUUCGACAGUUAAAUUCAGUUUCGACAGUUAAGUUCGAAGAUGAGCGGCUGAUGUAUUUUACAUCUAGCACUUUGUGGUUAUGUAUUUUACAUCAUGUAUUGGAGAUGUUAUUAGAAUUCCACUCAGAUUAACGUUGUUCGUUGUCUCUCUUGUCCUGCUUCAGCCUUGGCGUCGUACAACUCACCGGAGCUGCUCUAAUGACGAAACCCUCCAUCACAACGGAGUAGUACCUCGGGCUCCAUCUCUAGAUGCCUAAGAUCUUCUUCCCCUCCUCCGACAGCCAAGUCAGCCGGAGCAUCCUCACCGGCCAACCCAAUCACGCUGAGAUCAACAUGGAUUCGCCAAAGAGGUUGUACACUUGUUGCAUCUCUUUUUUACUCUACAUGUUAUAUAUAUUGUCCACUAAGCACUCGUAGUAAUGGGAAAUACGAUUAUUUUAUCCUACUAUAUGACAAGCAGUGAGGUACCAGGCAACUUAGCUAUCCGUGAUGGACUCUCUUGAACGCCAUCAUUAUUUAUCUCUGCGCGUUUGAGCUAUGUAUUUGUUGAUGGGCCUGGGAGUUGAGCUAGUAUGGCAGUGGCCUGGGUCCAAAGUAAUAGAAGUAGCACAAAACAUUUUUUUAGUGUAGGAUUUUCCUUGAUCAAGCCUGCCUACUAGAAUCACCAGUGCUUGAAAGGAAAAGUUAAUGAAAAACAUAGGAAUUGGAAAGUUUCCUAUGGUACUACUUUUCAUGAAUUUGGUGCAAAGGAAUGGAGCAAAGGAAAACUGUAGGAUUUGUUCCUUUAGUGUCUCCUUGAAAGAAAAACUGUAGGAAUUCUAAUUACCACUUCUCCUCCUUUUCAUAUUCCUAUUCAUCAAGGACAAGACUAAGAGAUAGUAGCAUAAUAGCAUUAUAAUCGUACAUUUUCUUGUGGUUUGACUUGAUCUCACCAUGCUUUUUUGCAUCCUGUGAUCUUCCAAUUGUUGUGAAUCAAACACCCAGAUUGGCAGAAAUCAUGUGUUUUUAAAUUCUCUGUUUUGCACGUGCAUUCCUAUCCUAUUCAUGUCGAUUUCCUAUCCAUGCAUUGUUCGAAUCCUCAAAUUCAAACAAGCCCUUAGUCAAUUACUUAUGUUACAGAUAUGUGUCAAAGAAAACCUUGUGUGGUUUGUUCUGCUCCUGCGGCGCUGUGUUCCACCCCAGCUCAGCUAUUCCAACAACGGAAGGGUUCACCACAGCAGGGAUCCGCUCUCCAGACUGUCUUUCGCUGCCUCAGAUCUUCUUCCCCACCACCGGCAACCACGACAAAUGCAUUACCAUCAUCAACUAAGCAGAUGACCUUGAGGACUACACGGGUCCGCAAGAGAGGUCGCACUCUUCCGUGUCUGCUUACGUUAUGCGUCUCUUAAUAUGAUGACAUGCUACAUUAUCGUCGUGUUCACCUAUUAGACGCCGAGUCAGGUCCAAACUAAUGCUGAAAGUUGAGUUUUUAAAUGGUUGUGGGGUACAUAUUGGGGCAGCAAUCACUACUAUCUGUCUACUAUCCGGUUAAUCUCUGGUGUCUACUAUGAGUUUCAUGUUGGGUGCAAACAAACAUUAAAGGAGCCAUUAUCUGUAUUUUUUAACUAAAACUAUCAUCUACUUGCUAUCAUUGGUUUUGGGUCUAUCCACAGUUUGGUACCAUCACUCUUGAUUUGUGCAUGCACUCCUUACAUAAUCUCACUAUGUUUUAUUCCUAUGCAUGCCAGUUAUUGUACACAAUGGAACUGAUCAUGUAGAGCAAAAGAGAUGAGCCUUGCAUGGCAAUAAAAUUUCAUGCAGACGUUGUUCCAUGGUGGGCGCAAAGGCAGCCCCCCCCUCCACCCAUUUCGGAUCGUAAUCAAGAGGAAGAUAACUGUUAUGAGGGGGAUUCAGAAGGAGAAGACCACUCCUAUUUACCCCAUGAGGUUUUCGCUCUAACUUGGCAUGCUGAUGUUAGUAAUAUCAUGCAUAUGCUGCCUUGCAUUGCUUACUGUAUACAUUAAAGAUGUCAUCUGCUUAGUUUAGACAUGCUUUGUUUCAAUUCCAUCUGUUUAAUUUCUUUAUCGUAUAUGUGAAUCAUGCAAUGCCAUCUUGUCUUGCUAGGCAUCAUAUAUGUGAAUUUUGCAAUGCCACCUUGGUUAGCCAGUCAUCUUAUAUGUGAAUUAUAUCAUGCCAUCAUUUUUUUAUUACAUGUUAAAUUUGUCAACAAUUUUAGUGAAUUCAAUUACUCUUCCUGUGCAUCAGCCAUUCGGCACGGUCAUGGAAAAAUCUGGAGUGGAAACAAGGUCUUCAGAGCAGACAAUGCUAUCUGACAAAGCGCAUGUCUUGCUGGUUACUGAUAGCUCCUCAAAGGAGGAUUCAGAGACAGAUGACCAGUCAUAUCCCCCCCCCCCCGAGGUGCAUGCCCUAACUUGGCAGGGUUAUGUUUCUCAUAUCGUGCGUAUGGUAUCUUGCAUUGCUAUGUCAUUUGCUUAGUUUAGACAUGCUUUGUGUGAAUGCCCCAUGUUUAGUGUCUAAUUACCAUAUAUGUGAAUUAUGCAAUGCCAUCUUGUUGCAAGACAUUAUAUAUGUGAAUUAUGCAAUGUUAUCUUGUUGCAAGGCAUUAUGUAUGUGAAUUAUACAAUGCCAUGCUGUUUAGGCAAGCGUCAUAUAUGUGAAUUAUAUCAUGCCGUCCUUUUUUGUAUUUCUCAUUGCUUUUGUCGACAAUGUUUGUAUAUUCAACUGCUCUUCCUGUGCAUCAGCCAUUUGAAUUGGUGAUGGAGAAAUCUGGAGUGAAAACAAGGUCUUCAGAGCAGACAAUGCUACCUAUUGAAGCAAAUAUCUUGCUGGUUACAGAUAGCUCUUCAGAGGAGGAUUCAGAGGUAGAUGACCAGUCUUAUUAUCCCCCUGAGGUGUAUGCUAAAACUUGGCAGAGUUAUAUUACUCAUAUAAUGCAUAUGUUGUAUUGCAAUGAUUAGUUUUUACAUCAUAUACACAAUAUUGAAUGCCAUCUCCUUAGUUGACACAUCAUAUAUGCGAUUGCCCUCUGCUCACUUCCUUAGUAUAUAAACCAUAUAUUUGAAUUAUGUCAUGCCAUGAUGUUUACAUAGACAGCAUGUAUCUGAAUUAUGGCAUGCCAACCCAUUUUCUAAAGACAUAAUAUAGUUAUAUCAUCUCAUCAUGUUUACAUAGUCAUCAUAUUUUAAACUAUGUCAUUCUAUCCGUGAAUUAUAUCAUGCCAUCAUGUUUCCAUCGACGGCAUGUUUGUGAUUUAUGGCAUGCCAACCACUUUAAUAGACACAUCAUAUAGUUAUAUCAUGUCAUCCUGUUUACAUAGUCAUCAUAUUUUGAAGUAUGUCAUUCUAUCCUGUUUAGUUAGCCAUCAUACAUGUGAAAUUGUGUCAUGCUAUCCUGUUUAAUUAGCCAUCAUAUAUGUGAAAUUAUGUCCUGCUAUUUUGUUUGCUUAGACAACAUAAAUGUGAAUUAUUUCAUGCCCUAUUUUCUUCCCUACUAUCCAUUGCACCUGUCUAUCUUACAAUGUCUGUACAUUCAAUUACUUUUCUUGUUUAUCAGCCAUUUCAAUUAGAGGGAGUGAUGGCAGUAUCUGUGGGAGUAAAAACACGGUCUUCAAAAAAGAUCGUGCUACCUGUCGAUGCAGAUAGAACCACGGUUCUACUUACCCAAGAACCAGCCCCGCCACACAUAACCCACACUCUUGCAGAUUGUACUCCUACCCAGUUGGACAGAGAACUAGCUACACCCCUUCUAACCCCAACCCCAGCAGAUAGACACCCAGUUCUCGUUGACACAACACCGUCUCCACCACAGAGCACCCAAACACGAGCAGUUAGUAAGGCAACUGCAGUGCCCAAAUCACGAGGACCACCACUCCGAACCCGAAGUCAACGCUUAAAGCAGAAGAAGAAUUGUUCUCAGGUCAGGUUCCAUAGCUAUGGUUCAUACUACUUUGCUCUUGCGUCACUGUAUUUAUUGAUACCAACUAAUUUCAAAUUUGAAGGAUGCAAUUGAAACUCCAAUAGCGCAACAGGUAUGUUUUAAACCUGUUUCUUCAACGUGUUUGGAUGUUUGUUGUUGUAACUUGCUCUAUGUUGAUUUCAGUUUCAAUUGAAUAAACAGUUAUGUUCUCAUGCCAUGCACAUUACAAGUGUUGUUAUUACUGUGUAGUUUCCCACGCUGAUAUUCUGUCUAUGUUGCUUUGUCUUAAAUAUAUAUGAUUCAAACUGUAUCUAUCUUGAUUUGGCAACAUAAACUAGAAUGAUAUAGACCAUACAGUGACCAUACUACAUAGAUAUAUGUUUGUUUCAUGCUAUUAUCCUGUCCACCUUACUACUAAACUGGUUUACCAAAAUGAGUUUCAUAUACUACAUUGUAAACCUGAGAUGUGUUUGUUUGUUUCUCUUUUAGAACGCGGAUAAAAUAUUGGAGAAAAGAGUACCCCGUUAUGCAAUGGUAAAGGAAGUAAUGCAGAUAAGGUUCGAGAUAGUGAGACAUCCCUGUUGGUCUCCAAGAAAGCUGAUAAAAACUAUAUUGAAGGCACUGAGACAACCCCAAAGUCCUGUCUUGAUGUAGUGUUCGAGUUACUGGCUACCACUGUUGGCACCAGCUCUUCGAACUCGUUGCCUGAAUCCGUUCGGACUCUUGAGUCUUAACUUCAAGUUGAAAGACAUUGAUCAGAUGUUAUGCGACAGGAAGUCAAAGGACUGAGGAAGUCCCUGCAGAAUUCAGAUGCAUACUUUCUGGUGCAACAGCAAGUGCUGGAGGACUUAAGCGCCAAACAAGGGAAAGUUAAUAAGCUUGCUAAGCAUCUUGCCAGCAUUAUGGGUACCCAGGAUAUUGUUUCUUGAGAUCUUCUUAAGUGGUUUCAGUUUUGGACUUGUUUUGCUGCGGCGUUUAUAUGUUGUUGUGUUCCCUAUAUUUGCACUGGUGGCGAACUUUGAUGCCUAGUGGAUGUAAUAUGUGUAAUAGCCGUGAUAGCCUAGCGUAAGUUGCUUGCUUAUUUAUUUCCUUGUUGUCUUGUUUAUUUGUUUGCUUGUAGUCAGUGGAGUUCUUUUUUCGCGGGUUGCUAGUGGCUGCAAUAACCUAUUUUUUAAAACUAGGCCACAAUAACCAUGGGCUAAUAUUUACUUUAGUGACACUCGGCCUCCUACGGGCCAUAGAAACAGUGGGCCUUCUACGGGCCGUAGAAACAAUGGGCCUUCUACGGGUCGUAGAAACAAUGGGCCUUCUACGGGUCAUAUUAUCAAUGGGCCUUAUACAGGCUGUAUGAUCGAUUGGCCAAACAUGGGCCAAACAGACCGCAUUCUGGCCGUAAACGGGCUAGAGUUGGAAUCAUCCAUUCAUGGGCCGGCCAUAAUGGGCCAUCGUUAAUAGGCCGUAUUUGAUGACGCUAUGAAAACGGCCCAACGUAUUAACGGACCACAAAUGGGCCAACAGUAACCACAGGCUGAAUUUGGCCCACAAGCAAAAAAUGACAGUAACGGGCCGUAAGUAAACGAAUGCUGGAAAUGAGCCCAACCAUAAAUGGGCUCUGAGAAGGCCGAAAGAUAACAUGGGCUAGAAAUGGCCCAACGGAAUAAUGGGCCGUUAAUGGGUAUAAAGUGAUACACUGUUCUUUACGGGCCGGUUUCACCAUGGGCCGUUAAUGGGUGUAAAGUGAUGCACUGUUCAUUAUGGGCCAGUUUCACCACGUGCCAUUAAUAGGCCAAGAGUUACAUAGGGCCUGAUAGGGGUCGAAAGACGUCAUGGGCCAUACAUGGGCCAGAAGUGAAAACGGGCUGGAAUCAUAUUGGAUGGCCCAGAUGACGCUACUGGGCCUAAUUCAAAUAGGGUGUAACGGGCCUUGGGUUAGCGGGUUGUAAAUGGGCUAUAUGUGAACAUGACGUUAACAGGAUUUCCAUGGGCCGGCCCGCCACCUUUUGACCAAGUCAACGGGCCGGCCUUUUCACAGGAAUGGGCCUCUGUUGGGCCGUGCCAAGUGUCGACGUAUCAUAGGCGCCUUCUGUGCAAUGAGUGGAUGACAUCUGUCCCAGCGAUGAGCCGACACGUGUUUCCUCCAGCCAAUGAUGAUUUUACAUGUGGAAAAUCCUCAUUGGUCGGGGCUGUUAACGGGUUAUCGGAUCCAAAACCCGAACCGAUAGCUUAACAGCGUUUCGUUACGGUGGAUGCCAUGUGUCGGUCACCCUUGAUGAAAGCACUUCUGUGACGCGUGAUUUAUCGUCAUGGAAGUGGACACUUCCGUGAUGAUAAUUUUGGUAAUGUCAUGGAACACUUCUACGACAACUGAAGGAAAUAUGCCCUAGAGGCAAUAAUAAAGUUAUUAUUUAUUUCCUUAUUAAAUGAUAAAUGUUUAUUAUUCAUGCUAGAAUUGUAUUAACCAGAAACAUAAUACAUGUGUGAAUACAUAGACAAACAGAGUGUCACUGGUAUGCCUCUACUUGACUAGCUUGUUGAUCAAAGAUGGUUAUGUUUCCUAACCAUAGACAUGUGUUGUCAUUUGAUUAACGGGCUCACAUCAUUAGGAGAAUGAUGUGAUUGACAUGACCCAUUCCGUUAGCUUAGCAUACGAUCAUUUAGUAUAUUGCUAUUUCUUUCUUCAUGACUUAUACAUGUUCCUAUGACUAUGAGAUUAUGCAACUCCCGUUUACCGGAGGAACACUUUGUGUGCUACCAAACGUCACAACGUAACUGGGUGAUUAUAAAGGAGCUCUACAGGUGUCUCCAAAGGUACAUGUUGGGUUGGCGUAUUUCGAGAUUAGGAUUCGUCACUCCGAUUGUCGGAGAGGUAUCUCUGGGCCCUCUAGGUAAUGCACAUCACUUAAGCCUUGCAAGCAUUGCAACUAAUGAGUUAGUUGCGAGAUGAUGUAUUACAGAACGAGUAAAGAGACUUGCCGGUAACGAGAUUGAACUAGGUAUUGAGAUACCGACGAUCGAAUCUCGGGCAAGUAACAUACCGAUGACAAAGGGAACAACGCAUGUUGUUAUGCAGUCUGACCGAUAAAGAUCUUCGUAGAAUAUGUGGGAGCCAAUAUGAGCAUCCAGGUUCCGCUAUUGGUUAUUGACCGGAGACGUGUCUCGGUCAUGUCUACAUUGUUCUCGAACCUGUAGGGUCCGCACGCUUAAAGUUACGAUGACAGUUUCAUUAUGAGUUUAUAUGUUUUGAUGUACCAAAAGUUGUUCGGAGUCCCGCAUGUGAUCACGGACAUGACGAGGAGUCUCGAAAUGGUCGAGACAUGAAGAUUGAUAUAUUGGAAGCCUAUGUUUGGACAUCAGAAGUGUUCCGGGUGAAAUCGGCAUUUUACGGGAGUACCGGGAGGUUACCGGAACCCCCCGGUAACUUAAUGGGCGUUAAUGGGCCUAGUGGAGGAAUAGGAGAGGAGGCCAAGGGGCAGCCGCGCGCCCCUCCCCCCCAAGUCUGAAUUGGACAAGGAGGGGGGGCGGCGCCCCCCCCUUCCUUUCCCCUCUCUCUCUCCUCCCACCCAAGUCCUAGUCCAACAUGGAAAAGGGGGGAGUCCUACUCAUCGGGAGUAGGACUCCUCCUGGUGCGCCCUCUUCCGGGCCGGCCGCACCCCCCCCUUGCUCCUUUAUAUACGGGGGCGGGGGGACACCCCAAAGACACAACAAUUGAUCCCUUGGAUCUCUUAGCCGUGUGCGGUGCCCCCUUCCACCAUAGUCCACCUCGAUAAUACUGUAGCGGUGCUUAGGCGAAGCCCUGCGACGGUAGAACAUCAAGAUCGUCACCACGCCGUCGUGCUCACAGAACUCUUCCCCGACACUUUGCUGGAUUGGAGUCCGGGGAUCGUCAUCGAUCUGAACGUGUGCUAGAACUCGGAGGUGCCGUAGUUUCGGUGCUUGAUCGGUCGGGCCGUGAAGACGUAUGACUACAUCAACUGCGUUGUUAUAACGCUUCCGCUAUCGGUUUACAAGGGUACGUGUACAACACUCUCCCCUCUCGUUGCUAUGCAUCACCAUGAUCUUGCGUGUGCGUAGGAAUUUUUUUGACAUUACUACGUUCCCCAACAGUGGCAUCAGAGCCUAGGUUUUAUGCGUUGAUGUUAUAUGCACGAGUAGAACACAAGUGAGUUGUGGGCGAUACAAGUCAUACUGCUUACCAACAUGUCAUACUUUGGUUCGGCGGUAUUGUUGGAUGAAGGCGGCGCGGACCGACAUUACGCGUACGCUUACGCAAGACUGGUUCUAUCGACGUGCUUUGCACACAGGUGGCUGGUGGGUGUCAGUUUCUCCAACUUUAGUUGAACCGAGUGUGGCUACGCCCGGUCCUUGAGAAGGUUAAAACAUCACUAACUUGGCGAACUAUCAUUGUGGUUUUGAUGCAUAGGUAAGAACGGUUCUUGCUCAGCCCGUAGCAGCCACGUAAAAUUUGCAACAACAAAGUAGAGGACGUCUAACUUGUUUUUGCAAGGCAUGUUGUGAUGUGAUAUGGUCAAGACGUGAUGCUAUAUUUUAUUGUAUGAGAUGAUCAUGUUUUGUAACCAAAGUUAUCGGCAACUGGCAGGAGCCAUAUGGUUGUCGCUUUAUUGUAUGCAAUGCAAUCGCCUUGUAAUGCUUUACUUUAUCACUAAGCGCUAGCGAUAGUUGUAGAAGCAUAAGAUUGGCGAGACGACAACGAUGCUAUGAUGGAGAUCAGGGUGUCGCGCCGGUGACAAUGGUGAUCAUGAUGGUGCUUCGAAGAUGGAGAUCACAAGCACAAGAUGAUGAUGGCCAUAUCAUAUCACUUAUAUUGAUUGCAUGGGAUGUUUAUCUUUUAUGCAUCUUAUCUUGCUUUGAUUGACGGUAGCAUUAUAAGAUGAUCCCUCACUAAAUUAUCAUAGUAAAAGUGUUCUCCCUGAGUAUGCACCGUUGUGAAAGUUCUUCGUGCCGAGACACCACGUGAUGAUCGGGUGUGAUAGGCUCUACGUUCAAAUACAACGGGUGCAAAAUAGUUGCACACGCGGAAUACUCAGGUUAUACUUGAUGAGCCUAGCAUAUAACAGAUAUGGCCUCGGAACACGGAGACCGAAAGGUCGAGCGUGAAUCAUAUAGUAGAUAUGAUCAACAUAUUGAUGUUCACCGUUGAAACUACUCCAUCUCACGUGAUGAUCGGACAUGGUGUAGUUGAUAUGGAUCACGUAAUCACUUAGAGGAUUAGAGGGAUGUCUAUCUAAGUGGGAGUUCUUAAGUAAUAUGAUUAAUUGAACUUUAAUUUAUCAUGAACUUAGUCCUGAUAGUAUUUUGCAAAUUAUGUUGUAGAUCAAUAGCUCGCGUUGUUGCUUCCCUAUGUUUUAUAUGUGUUCCUAGAGAAAACUAAGUUGAAAGAUGUUAGUAGCAAUGAUGCGGACUUGGUCCGUGAUCUGAGGUUUAUCCUCAUUGCUGCACAAAAGAAUUAUGUCCUUUAUGCACCGUUAGGUGACAGACCUAUUGCAGGAGCGGAUGCAGAUGUUAUGAACGUUUGGCUAGCUCAAUAUGAUGACUACUUGAUAGUUUAGUGCACCAUGCUUAACGGCUUAGAAUCGAGACUUCAAAGACGUUUUGAACGUCAUGGACCAUAUGAGAUGUUCCAGGAGUUGAAUUUAUUAUUUCAAGCAAAUACCCGAGUUGAGAGAUAUGAAGUCCCCAACAAGUUCUAUGGCUAAAAGAUGGAGGAGAAUCGCUCAACUAGUGAGCAUGUGCUCAGAUUGUCUGGGUACUACAAUCGCUUGAAUCAAGUGGGAGUUAAUCUUCCAGAUAAGAUAGUGAUUGACAGAGUUCUCUAGUCACCAUCACCAAUUUAGUAGAACUUUGUGAUGAACUAUAGUAUGCAAGGGAUAACGAAAACGAUUCCCGAGCUCUUCGUGAUGUUGAAAUCGACGAAGGUAGAAAUCAAGAAAGAGCAUCAAGUGUUGAUGGUUGACAAGAUCACUAGUUUCAAGAAAAGGGCAAAGGGAAAGAAAGGGGAACUUCAAGUAGAAUGACAAGCAAGUUGUCACUCCCACGAAGAAGCCCAAAGCUGAACCAAAGCCUGAAACUGAGUGCUUACACUACAAAGGAAAUGGUCACUAGAAGCGGAAAUGCCCUGACUAUUUGGUGGAUAAGAAGGAUGGCAAAGUGAACAAGGGUAUAUUUGAUAUACUGGUUAUUGAUGUGUACCUUACUAGUGUUUAUAGUAGCCCCUGAGUAUUUGAUACUUGUUCAGUUGCUAAGAGUAGUAACUCGAAACGGGCGUUGCAGAAUAAACAGAAACUAGUUGAGGGUGAGGUGACGAUGUGUGUUGGAAGUAGUUCCAAGAUUGAUAUGAUCAUCAUCGCACACUCCCUAUACUUUCGGGAUUAGUGCUGAACCUAAAUAAAUGUUAUUUGGUGUUUGCGUUGAGCAUGAAUGUGAUUUGAUCAUGUUUAUUGCAAUACGGUUAUUCAUGUAAGUUAGAGAAUAUUUUUUGUUCUGUUUACAUGAAUAAAACCUUCUAUGGUCAUACACCCAAUGAAAAUGGUUUGUUGGAUCUCGAUCGUGUGAUACACAUAUUCAUAAUAUUGAAGCCAAAAAGAUGUAAAGUUAAUAAUGAUAGUGCAACUUAUUUGUGGCACUGCCGUUUAGGUCAUAUCGGUGUAAAGCGCAUGAAGAAACUCCAUACUGAUGGACUUUUGGAACCACUUGAUUAUGAAUCACUUGGUACUUGCGAACCGUGCCUCAUGGGCAAGAUGACUAAAACGCCGUUCGCCGGAACUAUGGAGAGAGCAAUAGAUUUGUUGGAAAUCAUACAUACAGAUGUAUGUGGUCCAAUGAGUGUUGAUGCUCGUGGCAAGUAUUGUUAUUUUCUAACCUUCACAGAUGAUUUGAGCAGAUAUGGGUAUAUCUACUUAAUGAAACACAAGUCUGAAACAUUUGAAAAGUUCAAAGAAUUUCAGAGUGAAGUGGAGAAUCAUCGUAACAAGAAAAUAAAGUUUCUAUGAUCUGAUCGUGGAGGAGAAUAUUUGAGUUACGAGUUUGGCCUUCAUAUAAAACAAAGUGGAAUAGUUUCACCGCUCACACCACAUGGAACACCACAGCAUAAUGGUGUGUCUGAACGCCAUAACCGCACUUUAUUGGAUAUGGUGCUAUCUAUGAUGUAUCUUACCGAUUUACCACUAUCAUUUUUGGGUUAUGCAUUAGAGACAGUUGCAUUCACUUUAAAUAGGGCACCAUCAAGAUCCGUUUGAGAUGACGCCUUAUGAACUGUGGUUUGGCAAGAAACCAAAGUUGUCGUUUCUUAAAGUUUGGGACUGCGAUGCUUAUGUGAAAAAGUUUCAACCUGAUAAGCUCAAACCCGAAUCAGAGAAGUGUGUCUUCAUAGAAUACCCAAAGGAAACUAUUGGGUAUCUUCUAUCACAGAUCCGAAAGCAAGAUAUUCGUUGCUAAGAUGGAUCCUUUCUAGAGAAGGAGUUUCUCUCGAAAGAAGUGAGUGGGAGAAAAGUAGAACUUGAUAAGGUAAUAGUACCUUCUCCUGAAUUGGAAAAUAGUUCAUCACUGAAAUCAGUUCCAAUGAUUCCUACACCAAUUAGUGAGGAGCUAACGAUGAUGAUCAUGAAACUUCAGAACAAGUUACUACAGAACCUCGUAGGUCUUCCAGAGUAUGGUCUGCACCAGAGUGGUACGGUAAUCCUGUUCUGGAAGUCAUGUUACUAGACCAUGAUAAACCUACGAACUAUGAGGAAGCGAUGAUGAGCCUAGAUUCCGCGAAAUGGUUUGAGGCCAUGAAAUCUGAGAUGGGUUCCAUGCAUGAGAACAAAGUGUGGACUUUGGUGGACUUGCCCGAUGAUCGGCAAGCCAUAGAAAAUAAAUGGAUCUUCAAGAGGAAGACAGACGCUGAUAGUAGUGUUACUAUCUACAAAGCUCGACUUGUCGCAAAAAGUUUUUCAAAAAGUUCAAGGUGUUGAAUACAAUGAGAUUUUUCUCACUCGUAUCGAUGCUUAAAGUCUGUCCGAAUCAUGUUAGCAAUUGCCACAUUUUAUGAAAUCUGGCAAAUGGAUGUCAAAACUGCAUUCCUUAAUGGAUUUAAUAAAGAAGAGUUGUAUAUAAUGCAACCAGAAGGUUUUGUCAAUCCUAAAGGUGCUAACAAAAUGUGCAAGCUCCAGCGAUCCAUCAAUGGACUGGUGCAAGCAUCUCGGAGUAGGAAUAUACGCUUUGAUGAGUUGAUCAAAGCAUAUAGUUUUAUACGGACUUGCAGUGAAGCCUGUAUUUACAAUAAAGUGAGUGGGAGCACUACAGCCUUUCUGAUAAGUAUAUGUGAGUGACAUAUUGUUGAUCAGAAAUGAUGUAGAAUUUUUUCUGGAAAGCAUAAAGAAGUGUUUGAAAGGAGUUCUUUAAAAGAAAGACCUCAGUAAAGCUACUUACAUAUUGAGCAUCAAGAUCUAUUAAGAUAGAUCAAGACGCUUGAUAAGAUUUUCAAUGAGUACAUACCUUGACAAGAUUUUGAAGUAGUUCAAAAUGGAACAGUCAAAGAAAGAGUUCUUGCCUGUGUUGCAAAAGUAUGAAAUUGAGUAAGACUUAAAUCCCGACCACGACAGAAAAUAGAAAGAGAAUGAAAGUCAUUCCCUAUGAUUCAGUCAUAGGUUCUAUAAAAGUAUGCCAUGCUAUGGACCAGACCUAUUGUAUACUCUGCGCUGGUUUGGCAAGGGAAUACAAUAGUGAUCUAGGAGUAGAUCACUGGACAUUGGUCAAAAUUAUCCUUAGUGGAAUAAGGAUAUGUUUCUCGAUCAGAUGACUUUAAGUCUGAAUCUGGAUACAUAUUGAAAGUGGGAGCAAUUAGCUAGAGUAGCUCCGUGCAGAGCAUUGUAGACAUAGAAUAUUUGCAAAAUACAUACGGCUCUGAAUGUGACAGACCCAUUGACUAAACUUCUCUCACAAGCAAAACAUGAUCAUACCUUAGUACUCUUUGGGUGUUAAUCACAUAGUGAUGUGAACUAGAUUGUUGACUCUAGUAAACCCUUUGGGUGUUGAUCACAUGACGAUGUGAACUAUGGGUAUUAAUCACAUACAGAUGUGAAUAUUGGUGUUAAAUCAUAUGGUGAUGUGAACUAGAUUAUUGACUCUAGUGCAAGUGGGAGACUGGAGGAAAUAUGCCCUAGAGACAAUAAUAAAGUUAUUAUUUAUUUCCUUAUUUCAUGAUAAAUGUUUAUUAUUCAUGCUAGAAUUGUAUUAACCAGAAACAUAAUACAUGUGUGAAUACAUAGACAAACAGAGUGUCACUAGUAUGCCUCUACUUGACUAGCUUGUUGAUCAAAGAUGGUUAUGUUUCCUAACCAUAGACAUGUGUUGUCAUUUGAUUAACGGGAUCACAUCAUUAGGAGAAUGAUGUGAUUGACAUGACCCAUUCCGUUAGCUUAGCACACGAUCGUUUAGUAUAUUGCUAUUGCUUUCUUCAUGACUUAUACAUAUUCCUAUGACUAUGAGAUUAUGCAACCCCCGUUUACCGGAGGAACACUUUGUGUGCUACCAAACGUCACAACAUAACUGGGUGAUUAUAAAGGAGCUCUACAGGUGUAUCCAAAGGUACAUGUUGGGUUGGCGUAUUUUGAGAUUAGGAUUUGUCAGUCCGAUUGUCGGAGAGGUAUCUCUGGGCCCUCUGGGUAAUGCACAUCACUUAAGCCUUGCAAGCAUUGCAACUAAUGAGUUAGUUACAAGAUGAUGUAUUACGGAACGAGUAAAGAGACUUGCCGGUAAUGAGAUUGAACUAGGUAUUGAGAUACCGACGAUCGAAUCUCGGGCAAGUAACAUACCGAUGACAAAGGGAACAACGUAUGUUGUUAUGCGGUCUGACCGAUAAAGAUCUUCGUAGAAUAUGUGGGAGCCAAUAUGAGCAUCUAGGUUCCACUAUUGGUUAUUGACCAGAGACGUGUCUCGGUCAUGUCUACAUUGUUCUCGAACCCGUAGGGUCCGCACGCUUAAAGUUACGAUGACAGUUUCAUUAUGAGUUUAUAUGUUUUGAUGUACCGAAAGUUGUUUGGAGUCCCGGAUGUGAUCACGGACAUGACGAGGAGUCUCGAAAUGGUCGAGACAUGAAGAUUGAUAUAUUGGAAGCCUAUGUUUGGACAUCGGAAGUGUUCCGGGUGAAAUCGGCAUUUUACCGGAGUACCGGGAGGUUACCGGAACCCCCCGGUAACUUAAUGGGCCUUAAUGGGCCUAGUGGAGGAAUAGGAGAGGAGGCCAAGGGGGAGCCGCGCGCCCCNNNNNNNNNNNNNNNNNNNNNNNNNNNNNNNNNNNNNNNNNNNNNNNNNNNNNNNNNNNNNNNNNNNNNNNNNNNNNNNNNNNNNNNNNNNNNNNNNNNNNNNNNNNNNNNNNNNNNNNNNNNNNNNNNNNNNNNNNNNNNNNNNNNNNNNNNNNNNNNNNNNNNNNNNNNNNNNNNNNNNNNNNNNNNNNNNNNNNNNNNNNNNNNNNNNNNNNNNNNNNNNNNNNNNNNNNNNNNNNNNNNNNNNNNNNNNNNNNNNNNNNNNNNNNNNNNNNNNNNNNNNNNNNNNNNNNNNNNNNNNNNNNNNNNNNNNNNNNNNNNNNNNNNNNNNNNNNNNNNNNNNNNNNNNNNNNNNNNNNNNNNNNNNNNNNNNNNNNNNNNNNNNNNNNNNNCUUCCCCCCAAGUCCUAGUCCAACAUGGAAAAGGGGGGAGUCCUACUCCCGGUGGGAGUAGGACUCCUCCUGGCGCGCCCUCCUCCUGGCCGGCCGCACCCCCCUUGCUCCUUUAUAUACGGGGGCGGGGGGGCACCCCAAAGACACAACAAUUGACCCCUUGGAUCUCUUAGCCGUGUGCGGUGCCCCCUUCCACCAUAGUCCACCUCGAUAAUACUGUAGCGGUGCUUAGGCGAAGCCCUGCAAUGGUAGAACAUCAAGAUCGUCACCACGCCGUCGUGCUGACAAAACUCUUCCCCGACACUUUGCUGGAUCGGAGUCCGGGGAUCGUCAUCGAGCUGAACGUGUGCUAGAACUCGGAGGUGCCGUAGUUUCGGUGCUUGAUCGGUCGGGCCGUGAAGACGUACGACUACAUCAACCGUGUUGUUAUAACACUUCCGCUAUCGGUCUACGAGGGUAUGUGGACAACACUCUCCCCUCUCGUUGCUAUGCAUCACCAUGAUCUUGCGUGUGCGUAGGAUUUUUUUUGAAAUUACUCCGUUCCCCAACAACAGCACAGGUAUGACUAUCUUGAUUCUGUCAUAAAAUCGUCAUGGAUGUACAUGCAUGACAGAAAAUGCGACCUACUGUGACAAACACUUAUCAUCACGGAAGUGUAUUUUUUUGUAGUGGUGCGUCCCGUCAUAGGCCGGGAGCUCAGUCACAACUCCCUGUGAUGGUGGAGAGGACUAAUCAUCAAUGUAGGCACCAACUCUGGCUUACCCGAGUUGACAUGGACUCGUCCAAGGUGGGUUACCAUCCACACCAUAACCGACAUUGAGUGCCCGCAAGAUGGUCCACACGCUUAAAGUUCGGUGACGAUCGUAAUAAGGGUUUUUGUCUUUUGAUGUACCGAAGGUUGUUCGGAGUCCCGGAUGUGAUCACGGACAUGACGAGGAGUCUCGAAAUGGUCGAGACAUAAAGAUUGAUAUAUUGGAAGCCUAUAUUUGGAUAUUGGAAACGUUCCGGGUGAAAUCGGGAUUUUUCCGGAGUACCGGGGGGUUACCGGAACCCCCUCCCCCGGGGUGGUUAAUGGGCCUACAUGGGCCCUAAGGGAGAAGAGGAGGGCCGGCCAGGGCAGGCCGCGCGCCCCCUUCCCCCCUAGUCCGAGUAGGACAAGGAAGGUGGGGCGGCGCCCCCCUUUCCUCUUUCCCCCUUCCCCUUUCCUUCUCCAACAAGGCAAGAGAGGGGAGUCCUACUCUCGGUGGGAGUAGGACUCCUCCAGGCGCACCCCUAGGGGCUGGCCGCACCUCCCCCUCCCUCCUUUAUAUACGCGGGCAGGGGGCACCCCAGAACACACAAGUUGAUCUUCGUGAUCGUUCCUUAGCCGUGUGCGGUGCCCCCCUCCACCAUAUUCCACCUCGGUCAUAUCGUAGCAGUGCUUAGGCGAAGCUCUGCGUCGGUAUAACAUCAUCACCGUCAUCACGCCGUCAUGCUGAUGAAACUCUCCCUCAACACUCAGCUGGAUCAGAGCUCGAGGGACGUCACCGAGUUGAACGUGUGCAGAACUCGGAGGUGCCGUACGUUCGGUACUUGGAUCGGUCAGAUCGGGAAGACGUACGACUACUUCCUCUAUGUUGUGUCAACACUUCCGUUGCCGGUCUACAAGGGUACGUAGACAACACUCUCCCCUCCCAUCGCUAUGCAUCACCAUGAUCUUGCGUGUGCGUAGGAAAUUUUUAAAAUUACUACGUUCCCCAACAGUAACACGCAUACCCUGACCCUAAUCAGCGGCCACCAUGUGCCAGGAGACGCACCCGUGGAUGUCCAUGGAGAAGCCGAGCAGCCCGUGGAACCUAAGGUGCAUGUGGUACACUAUGUGGCUCGGCGGACGCGCCGGUGGCAACAUGCUCGCCGGGAGAGGCAUAACGAUGUAUCUCCUUGUAUUAUAUCCACUUUCUUGCGGGGUGGUCAGUGUUUAGGAGAUGGGGAAGGAGCCAUAACAGAGAGUGCCCGAGGAAAACACACCCUCAAAAUAGAAAGAAAAGGGACAAAGAGAAGGGAAGGAGCCAAGAGAGAAGAGACGCGCCCACUGCGGCGACAAGUACGACGGCCUCGUUCGGAGGGGCAUGUGCACUAGACCGACGAGAGAACAUCGCGGUGGCGGCGGCGGCAGCGUUACCCAUCCAAGCUCAAUGAUGCACCGGCAGCGACGGCAAGACAGCCGCGGGAAAUCAAGCUAGCUCUUUGCAGGAGUGUUUGAAGACAUCUUGCAUUGCAUGGCACAUGCAUAUGAGGCUACGUACAAUUUUUUAAUGAUUAUUUUCUUUGUUCUCACUUAGCAAAUGCCGACGGAGAUGGACACUCGAAGGCCAUCGCGGGAUAGCAUCCAGGGCCGGAAGGAGACGCGCCUGCGGUGUGUCAGCAUCAAGGGAGCCGCAGAAGAGGCCCUAGCACUUGGUGCACUUACUCCAAAUGUAGACAUGGAUGACGCAACGGCAACAUCAGCUCCAUGAACGUACCACGACGUUGACAGACGCCCGUUGGACUCGCCAGUGGUGUCCUCUUCCAUGUGUGUUUUCACGACAACGGUGGCGAGGCCGCCAGCAUGUAUCGCGAGGCCAACUCCACCUCAGCGAUGACAUCGGAGGGGCUGCUGGUGCACGGCCCAAUGCCAUGUACACCAUCACCACAAUGUACGAGCUGCCAGCAUGCUGCCCGGAGCCAUCUCCUCUUCCUCGAUCCCCUGGACGACGCCCCGAGCUAGACCACAUCCAUGUGGUGAUCAAGUGCAGUUGUACACAAGCAAGUAGGAGAAGGCCGACAUCCAAGGCUGCACCAUCCUCUAUCCGCAACGAGGGAAGAACAAAUUCAUGGUGUCCAUCUUCAAGGAGAUGCCUUCAUGUGUCUUCUCUGUUUAUCUUUGUCUUCCUCUUAUUUCAGCGUAUCCACCGCCGGACAAACACUCAAGAGCUGCAACACACAAGCCAGGUGGAGGCACGCCCGCAGCACAACAUCGAGGAGAUUGCAAAGACGCGGCCACGGCGAGAGCACGCUUGCCGAGCAACCCAGGAGGCAACGACUACAUGCGUAGAUGGAGUCCGCAGGCACCACACUGAGGAGGAUCGUCGCUCUAGCGCGACCAUUGCAGAUGAAUUGCCGGCGGUCGCGGCGCUGCAGUGCCUUCUUCCAUCUGCACUAACACACUACAUCGACAAACAUCCGGGAGAGAAGAUGCAGAGAGCACCCCCAGACGGAGCAUCCACACGUGCGCAAAGUGGCCACGAAUGGCAUGCCGACGACCACGGUGUAUGUCCAGCCGGUGAAGCGGGAAAGGCAUCCAUCAUUAGGUGAAAAGGCAAAGCCGUGUACUCAUGAGGAGGAGGAGGAGGCCAGCGUCUAGAGCUAUACCAUCAUCUACCUCGACGUCAAGGAGGAGAAGAUUCCAGUAACAAUGCAAAUUAUGCUCUGGUAGAGGACGCACGCAGUCGGAGGCAGUGUCACGCGCGCCAAUGGACGUCAACCCGACCGUGAGUACAAAGUAGCCAGAAUGCACAACCACGGAUGACGUGUCGGCGGUCACGCCUCCCCACACGUACAGCGGUGAUGACGUAUGCAUAUCAGAAAACGACCCAGUGAUGCUUUCUAUCUGCAUCAAGACUCGUAUCCGGAAGAAGCCCGUGCCUUCUUCCAUCUACACCGACAUCCUACACCAAUGCAUACGAUGUACAGAAGCAGCGAAGGCAUCCAUCAUCAAGUGAAACACCUGCACACGCCAGAAGGAGGAAGCUAGCCUCCGAGGCUCCACAAAGCAUCCGCCUCUACAACGAGAAGAACAAGAUCAUGGUGUCCGUCUUCUUCAAUGGGACACAUGCAUAUUUAAUAUCUCUCUCUGUCUCUCUCUCUCUCUCUUCGUCUCUCAUUUCAAUGAGCCAUGACGCACAACGCGCCUCCGUGGAUGACUCACACACUCAGCCAGAGGCAACGACUCCAUGUCGCCAAUAUAAGUUGCACCAAAGGGAGGCCACGGAAGGGGCCCUAGCACUUGACGCACUUGUACCCAAGGUAGCCGUGGACAAUGCACUGGCGGAUGCACCCCAUGGACGUACCACGACAUCGACGGACGCGUGCCGGAGAGCUCGUUGGCGGUGUCUUCUUCCAUGCAUGCUUCCACAACGACAGUGGCAAGGCUGUCGGUGAGUAGCUCGGUGCUAACUCCACGCUACCGAUAACAUCGGAUGGGCUGCCGGGGUGCGGCCUGGCGCCAUCUACACCACCCGUGACCAUGUUGAAGUCGUCAUCAUCAACCUCCGGCUCAAUGUGGAAGGCUGCUAUAUCAACAUAUCGUCACCAUCUUCAUCGACUUCACACCCGACGGAGACGCCGACUACAUCGACACGCUGUCAUCCGAGUACAUCAACACGGCGUCGCAAUCUUCAUCAACUCUUCAUCUGGCAAGGGUGUCGUCUACAUUGGUGUCGAAGGAUGUCCACAUGACAUCGCCAUCUGCUUUGACUUAUUGCAUGGCGAGGACACAGACGGCACCGCAUGCCGCCAUUCUUCUAUACCAACCGUGUAACGCCCCGAGACCGACGCUUCAGAAGCCUUCCAUUUAUUUCGUUGUUGUUGUGUGUUUUAUUUGCUUGUUGCAUUCAUCAUCGCAUCAUUCGCUUUGCAUCGGCACUCUGUUGCCGUCAUUGUUUUCAAACUUGCAUCCUCUCGUAGUCGUUUGUGGUUCCCGCGUCCCCCUUGGCUUCGUUGACCAUUCCGAGACCAACCGUGUAAGCGUUCCCCUCUUGUCCAGCCACCGACCCCCCUCUUUCGUGCGUCCGAAAACUUCCCCGAACCCGACCCGGGCUUUCGUUACCGAUGGGUUCAGAUCAUCCCCAAACUUCUAGAAAACAUCUCCGUUUUUUUAUUUGGACUUCCUAACCUAUUUUCCCGGAGCCGUUCGAUCGUGAUCGGGUGACUCAAAAACUCCCCUCUUUUCCUAUAUAUAUAGACCCAACCCUAAAAAUUGAGGAGAGAUGUCCCAUCCAUCCUCCUCGCCGCCACUCCACCAAAUCCUCUCGGGAUCCCCUCCCUCGAUCCCGCAGCCUCCUCCCUUCCUCGUUUUCAGCUCCACCCAAUCCCUCCAUCCCGAUCCAGAUCCUCUCCAACCUCCGACCAGCCUCCUCCUUCCUCGGGAUCGAACCCGAGCCAUCGCGUGCAGCUCCUGAUCCCCUCCUCGAUCCACCCAUCCCCAGCGCCCGCAACCCUCCUCCUCGAUCGAUCCCGAGUGGGAGAGGACCCGGACGGCUCGUCCCCGCGCAGCCGCGAGGCACCGGCCUCCUCGGCUCCUCCGGCCCUACAACAACCUCGCCGGACCACCAGAUGAACCAGGCCGCCCCUCUGCUACCCUCCGUCGUCCCCUUUUUCCUUUCCUUCUCCUUCUCGCCUCACAUCUCUCUCUCUCUUUUGCUCCCAGGGAACCGAACGAAGCUCCAUCGUUGGACACCCUCUCCAUUGCCGGAGAUCCUCGAGCUGACCGGAGUCGUGGGUAAGCUCCUCCAUCGUGUCUCCCUGCCUUUUCUUCCCCUCCCGUUGCUGCUGAUUUUUCCCCCGCCUUGGCGUCGUUUUGUUGCAUAGGACAGCAGCCAUGGCCGCGGGCAACGAGUACCUAUGCUCGCGUCCGUGACGUCGCCAUCCCGUGGGACCCGCCUCCCUCUUCCCUCGUCCACAGGAGACCAACGCCAUGCGCCGCCUCUUUCAGCUCCGCCCAGCCGCCGCCAUCUUCUUCCCGGAGGUCCACCGACGCCACAAGCCCUGCUGUCGCCUGCUUCCCUCGUCACAGACGAGAACGAGCGCACGAGCGCUGCCCUGCGCGACCCCGCCGGCCGGAUCUGCUGGAGCUCGCCGUCCCCUGCGUCUCAAGUUCCUCUCGCCGGAGCCCCAAGUCCACCUCUGCCCCGUCGCCGAAGUCCAUCGCGCCCAGCCGCCGUCGCUUUGAACCUGCUUUCAGAAACGAGCAGCAACAGCUCGCUCGCCCCGCCUCGCUGCGUUGACCGCGCCCUCCCUUCACCUACGUGGGCCACCAGCAAGCAGGCCCAGCGCCCCCUUCCAGCCUCCCUCUCCAAGCCGACCGGCCUCAACGCCCAAUGUGAGCAGCCCAGUCCCAGCCAGAUGCGGCAUGUGUUAUUUUUUUCCCUGCCUGUGAAUUUAGUCAUUAUCCUGUGAUUUACCAGUUUUACAGAAAACCCCCUAGAUUUCAUGCAUACAAUAACUCCACAACCGUGCAUCGGAUUAAAAUAAUUUAUAUAUGUAAAAUGCUCAGAAAAUUGUGUAGAUUAAUAAUAUGCCAUUUUCAUCCAUGUUUAAAAUGUUUAAAUUUCUGUUUGCAUUAAUUUGCUUAAAUGCCAUGCUAAAAUGCUUUAUUUCAUAACUAAAUAACCGUAGCUCCAAAUUUAAUAAACUUUAUAUGUAAAUGGGGUGGAAAAAUGCCUAGUUUAACAUGGUCCACUUUACGUUGCUGUUUAACAACAUUAAAAUUGUGUUUAGGGCAGAACAGUACCAAAUCUAAAAUAUGCACAUGGGGAUUUUCCGGAAUUGUUGUUUGUUGUUCCGGCCUCAUUUAAACUUGUCUAGAUAGGUAGUUUUUCUCGUGCUUCACCCCUUGCCAUGUUUAAUAACAUUUAAUAUUGUUUGGUAGCUUAAACGAGAGAGAACUAAAUAUUUGAUGUGGUGUUUUGUUAAUAUGCAACUCGUUGCAUAUUGAUCUCCACUUAACUUGUAGUAUUGUUUGUUGCACUUUGCCAUGCCAUGACUCAUUAACCGGUCAUGCAUCAUACUUAUUUGUGCAUCAUGCCAUGUUUAUGUGAUGUUUGUUUACCAUGUUGUUUGUUUCUUUCCGGUGUUGCUUCUUAGUUCUGGUAAUGUUGCGAUUGUGAGGAUUCGUUCGACUACUUCUGCUUGUCUUCUUCAUGGACUCGUUCUUCUUCCUUGCGGGAUCUCAGGCAAGAUGACCGCUACCCUGGAUCUCACUACUAUCAUUGCUAUGCUAGUUGCUUCGUUCUAUCGCUUUGCUGCGCUACCUAUCAUCUGUUUAUCGAGCCAUCCCAUAUUGCCAUGAACCCCUAACCUUUGACACAUUUCCUAUGCAAACCGUUGCUUGGCUAUGUUACCGCUUUGCUCAGCCCCUCUUAUAGCGUUGCUAGUUGCAGGUGAAGUUGAAGAUUUCUCCAUGGUGGACAGGAUUUUGGUUGGGAUAUCACAACAUCUCUUAUAUUAUUAAUGCAUCUAUAUACUUGGUAAAGGGUGGAAGACUCGACCUUAUGCCUGGUGUUUUGUUCCACUCUUGCCGCCCUAGUUUCCGUCAUACCGGUGCUAUGUUCCCGAAUUUUGCGUUCCUUACGCGGUCGGGUGAUUUAUGGGACCCCCUUGACAGUUUGCUUUGAAUAAAACUCCUCCAGCAAGGCCCAACAUUGGUUUUACCAUUUGCCUCACCUAGCCCUUUUUCCCUUGGGUUUCCGGAGCCCGAGGGUCAUCUUUAUUUUAGCCCCCCCGGGCCAGUGCUUGUCUAAGUGUUGGUCCAAACCGAGCGAUGUUCGGCGCCCCCUGGGUAACCAGGGUCUAUGCCAUCCCGUCGUCUUGCUCAUCCGGUGUGCCCUGAGAACGAGGUACGUGCGACUCCUAUCGGGAUUUGUCGGCACAUCGGGCGGCUUUGCUGGUCUUGUUUUACCAUUGUCGAAAUGUCUUGUAAACCGGGAUUCCGAGUCUGAUCGGGUCUUCCUAGGAGAAGGUCUAUUCCUUCGUUGAUCGCGAGAGCUUGUCAUGGGCUAAGUUGGGACACCCCUGCAGGGUAUAAUCUUUCGAAAGCCGUGCCUGCGGUUAUAGGCAGAUGGGAAUUUGUUAAUGUCCGGUUGUAGAUAACUUGACACCAGAUCCGUUUUAAAACGCAUCAACCGCGUGUGUAGCCGUGAUGGUCUCUUCUCGGCGGAGUCCGGGAAGUGAACACGGUUUCUGGGUUAUGUUUGACGUAAGUAGGAGUUCAGGAUCACUUCUUGAUCAUUACUAGUUGACGACCGUUCUGCUUGCUCUCUUCUCGCUCUUAUUUGCGUAUGUUAGCCACCAUAUAUGCUUAGUCGCUGCUGCAGCCUCACCACUUUACCCCUUCCUUUCCUUUAAGCUUUGCUAGUCUUGAUACCCAUGGUAAUGGGAUUGCUGAGUCCUAGUGGCUCACAUAUUACUACAACAACAGUUGCAGGUACAGGUUAUGCGAUGAUCAUGACGCGAGAGCGAUGCUUGCUUGCGUUGAGUCCUUCUUCUGCUUCUUCUUCGAUCAGGGGAUAGGUUCCAGGUCGGCAGCCUGGGCUAGCAGGGUGGAUGUCGUUUGAGUUUCUGUUUGUGUUUCAUCUGUAGUCGGAUGAUGCUCUAAUGUAUUGUGAUGUUGUAUUCGAGUGGCAUUGUAUGCCUUAUGUAUGUAUCCCCAUCUAUUAUGUAAUGUUGAUGUAAUGAUAUCCACCUUGCAAAAGCGUUUCAAUAUGCGGGUCUAUCCUUGGUGGGACCUUCGAGUUCCUUUUGGAUAGGGUCGCAUAUUGGGCGUGACAAACCGUCUACAUUGAGCGGAGGUCGUCCCCAUAACUGUGACGCCCCAAGGUCUACAUCGACGAGCUAGUAUUGUCGUCAUCUUUAAGCACCGCUAUCAUGCGGCGACAGUCAAGUCUACUCCAACUUCUACAUCAACACAAUUCCUGACAUUGUCUUGGCACCGGCAAGGCGAAGCAGUAUUCCACCGAAAUGUCUUUUUCCAGUGAAGCAAUCCAUAUCUUGCCAGGCACCGACGAGGCGAAGGCAAGUCAUCCAGUCCGACUCCGACAAGGCGGACAUCACAAGGCUGGGCACCGAUGAGGCAAAGUCCACCCACUUCAUCGGAUAAUGACAAGACAAAGGAUACGACUAAGCAGAACCGGAGCGAUGGACGUACUGCUCUCCCCUUCACUUCAUCACUACAUCCCCACCAUCUACACCAAGCCAACGAUGCAAUUGAAGCUUUCAACAAGACACCCAACAAGAUACUCAAGAAGACAAUGACAAAGAACAUGAGAGACUGGCAUGACCGUCUCUUCGAGUCCUUAUGGGCGUACCGCGUCACAGUCCGUACCCCAACACAGGCGACUCCAUUUUCUCUCGCAUACGGCAGUGAGGCGAUCCUACCACUGGAGGUCCAGCUACCCUCUUUGAGGGUGGCUAUGCAAGAUGGAAUCACCCAAGAUGCAUAGGUACAACUGCGGUUUUAGGAGCUUGACGCCCUUGAAGAAGGGAAACUUCAUGCCCUACAUAACCUGGAGCUUUACCACCAUAAUAUGUAGAGCUUACGACAAGCUCGUCAAGCAACGCAUCUUCCGAAAAGGCGAGUUGGUCCCCGUGCUCAGGAGGCCCAUCGUCGUGAUGGACAAGAUGAAGGGAAAGUUCGAGCCAAAGUUGGAAGUACCAUACGUCAUCGAGCAAGUUUGCGAUGGGGGAGCAUACCAGCUCGACGAUUCCCAGGGAGUCCAACCAAUGCCCCCAAUCAACGGGGGGUUUCUCAAAAAAACUUAAAAUUUUGUUUCUUUUGUUGCCUUCCGGUUUUUCAUUGGGGAUUUUUUUGUGGGCUAUCGAAUCCAUGAUGCAUUCUCCUUUGCAUUUCGUGGAUAUAUCUAGUUUUCCCCAAUUUUAUGGACUAUGUCCAACAACAACAAAAAUGGCUUUCCCUUAUCCCACUAUGUUGUUGGUUAAAGUUUUGGCUACCCUAGGACUUGUUGGAGGGUGGCACGAUGUGUCAAGUUGCAGGUGGAGCGGCUCCUACACCCACAAUGCACGACACAUAUCAGGUGUAUGCUUCCGGAGGUAGCGGAGACGAUUACUUCGGCACUUCUGAGUAUUGAGACUCAUGCUCUUCAUGUUUACGGCAUGCCUCAUGUUCACAGAGGCUCGCACUCCAGGGAAGAAUAGGAAAAGAUCAUGGAGGGCUGCCUGACCUAAUGUAAAUUGGUUUGGUGCAUAGUCACAUGGCAACCCAGGGGUGCGCCACCAGAAGCCCCAGAUAAAGUGCUAGAGGGUUUUUCCUAGUCCACGGAGGUGAACAAGUUGCCUUCAAGUUCUCAAGGUGGGUCCCAAAGAAAUUCAGGAAAAAGAGUCCUCAAGAAGUUUCAGUCGAAUGUCAAAGCAAGUCCAUGAAGUAUGCGGCCAAUCAAUCAUCCGCGUGAACAAUCAAGAUAAAAUUCCAAAAGUCCAAGAAGCAAAUUUAAAAAAUCCCAACAGUCCAAGAAGCAAUCGAGCGGUCCCGAGGAGUAAGGAACCCACUGGAAGGAAGACGGACGGUAGCUGUUCACCACCCCUCAACAUGCAUGAAGAAAAAUCGUCAAGCCGUUGUCCCAAAACAAUUUAACCUGGAACUACCAUACCCAAGUCUCUCGGUUCAUGAGGCAUGUGCAGGGGGCAUGUUGAGCUGUGGAGGCCCUUAGUAUGAUGAUGGGCUAGAGUAUGAAUUUCGGUUGCCUCUUGGAAGCAUCCCGAAACACGACGUCUUCAUACAUGUACACCGAAGCUUAUUUAAGUUGUUGAGUUGCAAUCGUCAAGGUCUUUUGAUGGUUCCCAAUGACAAGUCCUUCGGCAGCCUUCUCGGAUAUCACGUCUAUAGCUCAUGUAUAACGGGAAAGCCAACAUUUUAAAAUCCUCAAACUUUUUCUUUCUUUUUUUCUCUUUUUCGCUUGUUUUCAUUUGGUGUUUCUAGUUGUACCCCUCCAACAUCUUUGCAGCCAUGGAGAGACGCUUCCUGUCGUCGUCGACGACAUUCCGACGAAGAACCACUACAUCGACCUACAUCAUGGGCAUUUGGGGCUGCAGUACCCAUGUAUCCAUGACAACACCAACGAUACCCCGACAACCAAUGGUCUACACGGAUGCGCACGAUGGGCGCCAGAAGGCAACACUUGCGCUCAUUAAGGUGGCGCUGAUGUGUCUCCGUGGCCCUGUCUCCAACAAGAAUGAAGCAUGGAGGCAACAUCAACCCUUCAAUCAUCUGUAAAGUUGAUGGCGUCCCUGCUUACCACCAUAAUUGUCACACCAUGAAUGGUGUAGUGAUUCACUCAAUGAAGGGGAGUUAUCAAGUGUCUACCGAUGCCCCGCCUACAUCAACACACGGAGAUCAUGGGAGCAGUCUAACGCGCCAGUGCGACCAACGUGAAUCUGUGAAACCCUUCAAUCAAGUCGGCUGGCACCAUAGCAGCUAUAAGGUCACGACGAGAUUGGUAAAGUUUUUCUUCUUGUUUUCAGGACAAGGCAUGAUGUUUCGCCAUGGAAUGAAGAUUGAAUAGGGUUGCUUCAUUGCUUGGCAUCGUGCCUGUUAUAUGAUCCAACGAGCUCCUGAGAGAACACGGUUGUGGAUGGACAUUCCCGCACUACUUUACAUUGUUACUAAUCAAUCAUGUUCGGCACUGUAUGCACGGCCUUGGGGAGAGGUCAUCUCUGAACUGGUUCUUCAGGCUGCAUAUAAAUCGUGCGCCAAGAAAAGAGAAACAAUAUAUAUAUAUAGGGAAAAUCCAUCCUACCACCCGGUGGUAGUUAUCCCACAUUUCUCAUAUACUACCGUGUGGUACUAUAUAUACUAUUUUAUUAUUUUAAAUAUGUUCAUAUACUAUAUCUAAGAUAUUUCAAAACAAGUUACAUGAAAAAAUUGCAUAUGAGCCCAUAGUUUUGUUAUAUUUGUUAAAUACGUACGCAUUUGUACGUAAAAAAAGCAUACUCAAAACAUGGUACAUACUACCUAAAAAUAGUAUAUAUACUACCUAAUCAUUAUUAUAUACUACAUACUACAUGUGCAUACUCUCGGUUUCAAUAGAUACUACAUACAACAUACAAAACGCAAGUGUUGAUAACUACCACUGCUUGUAGGAAACAUUUGUCAUAUAUAUAUAUAUAUAUAUAUAUAUAUAUAUAUAUAUAUAUAUAUAUAUAUAUAUAUAUAUAUUCAUCAAGUCAAACUCGAUUUACUUCACAAUCAAGCUCAACUCGAUGAGGGAGCAUUUGUUCGACGAGUUUUUGUGCAUUGUUGCAUAAAAUAAUAAUUUUUUAAUGAGUUGUGAUGCAGGCUAAAUGAGCAAAGGCAAGCUAUAAUAAUAUAAAGGCACAUUUAAUUACCGUGACACAUGCACGCAUGACAAAUGCCCACGUACUCAGCAAAUACAUAUGCAUAAAAUAUAGGUGCAGCUAAUAUGUGUACAUGCACACGGUCCGCCAUGCACAUAUACAUACGUAUUUGUGUAUUUGCGGCCAGCCGGCAAGCGCGUAUACUUCUCCAAAUACCCCCAUGAAUGCGGGCAUGAAAUACGUGAAAGUGUUGCAUUGGGUCCAAUAUGCACUUACACACCAACGGGCUGAGUUUUUGGCUAGUAAAACUUUCAUGAGCACAUACAAGGUUUGUUUGGUAAGUUCGUGCAUGGUAAGAAGUACUUGGGCACUGGAAAGGAAGCUUUUUUUAAGAUGGAAAGUUCAAAUCUUGCUGAUCAAGAUGAGGCCGUGUACCGGCCAUCCUCUGGGUAUAUAAAUACGGGACCACGGCUCGUGCACAAGGGGACAGAAGGAGACGCGCCGAGAUGGCAGCGUCGAGCAAGAGAAAGGAGCCACAUGAUGGAGAGCAUGUACGGGCAGGUUUGAAGACAAGGUCGCCAUGUACCUGGCGGUUGCGGAUGACGUACCGACCGCAGACGACGCGCCCACGGUAGCGGCGCACUCGCUAGGCAUCAAGCACGCUGCUUGGCCCUGUCCGGCGGGGGUUGCGACGGGGCAGAGCAUGCAUGAAGGAAAACACCCAUGGAGGAUGGCGUGCACUAAUUACCAAUAGCUUAUCUCAGGUCAGAUACCUCUUUGUAUUUGCAUGAUACACACAACCAAGGAGAAACCACGCAGAAAAGGAGACGGACCCGUGGUGGCCCUAGGACGGAGUCAUCUCGCACCCGGAGGCGGCGGACGACGCAUCCGGUGGAGAGGAGCCCAGGAUUCCAGGGGAGAGCGGCGACACCCUCGCACACAUGGAUGCAUGCUAGAACAAGGAGGUGUCCACACAUCGACCACCGCCAGAGACUACUUCGCCGGUCCAGAAGACUACACCAACAUCGUCGAAGAUUGCCUACAACAAUCCCUUCAUCUUCAGGCAUCACACUCCUGUUUGGAGAUGACUCAGAAGCAGCCGGAGCUCGCGAACAACGUAGCCCAACCGCUAGCUCUGGGUAUCUACCAGGGCGGUCUACAUGUCCCCGAUGAGCAGGUCACAACGCACAGGUCAUGGCGAACAGGUCUCCGAUGCACAGGUCCUCGGCGAACAGGUCAUCGGUGCACAGGUCCAUGACGCACCGAACAGAUCUCGCGUCUUGCUUCCCGGAGGAGACGACAUGGCAGAGCUAGAGCUCGCGACGAUGUAGCCCGAGACAGGUCCAUGACGAACAGGUCUCUCCGGUGCACAGUUCCAUGGUGCUCUGAUCAUGGUGCACAUGUCUGGUGUCUUGAUUCCCAGAGGAGACGACGUGGCGGAACUGAUGCUCACGACGAUGCAGCCCGAGACCGGUCCCACCUAUGAAGGCGCACCCACCAUGGCGAACAGGUCCUUGGCGUACAGGUCUCGGCGUGAUACUUGUCUCAGCAAACUACCAAGUACGGCGUUUAGCAGAGACGAGGCACCCACCAUGUCGGACAGGUCCUCGACAUAUAGGUCUCGGUGUACAGGUCCAUGGCUUCCUCGGCGUACAGGUCACCCUUUGAUGUAGCACCUGCCAAGGCAGCCUCUACGACGCCACCUUUUGUAGAUCACGUGAGCCGGUGCCCUUGUCUUGGCGGACCAACCAGACGGCAUUUAGCUAAUACAAGGUGACACAACCUCUACAACAUCUCCCUACGAGCUCGACGGGCGACGUCCUUGACAAAACAGACUGCCAUAAACUUGGCGUUCAAUCAAGUAAGACGCACCAUCAGGGCGCACAGGUCAUCGGUGUACAGGUCUUGGCGUACAGUUCCACGGCGUCGCCGGUGUACGGGUCCCCAUUCGGUGUAUCACCCACCCAAGGCGACGAAACCUCUGCAACAUCUCUUCACGAGUUCGCCGGGCGGCGUCCUUGACAAAACGGACUGCCAUAGACUUGGCGUUCAAUCAAGUGAUACGCACCCAUCACGACGCACAAGUCAUUGGUGUACAGGUCUACGGCGUCACCGGUGUACAGGUCCCCUUCUCGGUAUAGCACCCACCCAAGGCGACGUGAGCUCUACAACAUCAUCUCCCACGAGCAUCUCAAGCAGCAUCCUUGACAAAACGGACUGCCGUAGACUCGGCAUCCAAUCAAGUGAGGCGCACCCAUCACGGCAAACAGGUCAUUUUGUGUACAGACCCAUGGCGUCGUCGGCGUUCAGGUCACUCUUGGUGUAGCAUCAGCCCAAGGCGAUAUGGCCUCUACGAUGUCACCUUUCUAUGGCCAUGUGAGGUGGCACCCUUUGUCUUGGUGGACCGCCGAAUAAUCGGCGUCCAGCCAAGACGAGGUGCCAACCACACCGGAUAUGCUGAUACGAGCGAGCGUUGGUUUUACACCGACGCCGAUCUCCAUAAGGAUACUUCUGCGAGGCGAACCCCAUGCGUACCCCGACGAAACCACUAUAUCGUCAAGAAGUCCGAGCCAAGCAGGACUCGUGGUACUCCCACACCAACUACAUCAACGCCGUCAAGACCGACGAGGCGCGAUGGCAAGGGCGAGCAUGGCUAGCACGAAGCCAUGUUUUGAGCGGCACAUGUACCAACGAGGACACGGGCUUUGUCGCUGCUCACACCACACACCAUCAUCAUCAUGCAUGGAAAACGCGAAGCGAAGACGACGAAGACAACCACACCGCUUAAUUGGAGGUAUCUCGCGUAGCAACCCACGUGAGUAAUUAACCGGAAGCUUUUCGAGGCCCCGGGAACCAAGAGACCGCACAUCGCCAUAGUCAGUCAGGACGCGCUAGUAGGCCACGGAGCGCAACCAAUUUUCUAUGGGAUCUUGUAAUUUUGUUCAUCAAAAGAGAUAAAUGAAAUAUUUGUUUCCCGUAUCAUUUUUUUUUUGUGUACUAAGGUACACUGGCAUGCCGGCAUUUUUCUUUUCCCCGGCGCAUGAGAGAAAUCAAACUCCCGCUCUUUCCCAUCUCAGGAAGUGCAUUAAUAGAUUUUUCUCGUGUCAAACAUUGGUUCCUAGAAUGCCACAGCACAUUCUCUCUUCCAGCGCACAUCUAAAUGAGUUCUAGUUAUUGCAUAUUUAAGUGGGUGAAUCAAGCAUAGAGAUAUAAGGAAAAAAAUAUUCACACGAAUUACAACACAAGAUCAAUGACAUAGAAAUUAGAUGUGCAAUACUACUUUAGCAAAACUGAUUUCCUAUACACAUGGAGCCGGUGGAAUAAGAUACACGUCGAGGGAAGAGCGGUCGCGUCGACGCCACACCUGAGCCGUCGAUUACUCGAUUUUUGGCGCAGACACACGCAGUAUGCCAUGCGCUCGCACUUCGUCCGUCAUGCAUCUACCUCCACUGCCAAGGAUCGCAGCGACUAGUCACUUCGUUCUACAGAUGGUUGUCUAAAGCAAGCAUAUGCAACGAUCGUUGUGGGAUGCAAGGAUAAUAAUUUGAAAUCAACUUUGUGAAAAUAUAACGUUGCAUAAUGGAAUCCGUGGAGCACUUGUAAGUCCAGUUAAAUAGUCAGUUUCGUGAUUGCUUAACAGCACGUUCUUCAAUAAUUCCAGCCUGCAUAGCCAAGAAAGGGGGAUGGAUCUUGGUAGAUAUCAUUCGUACAGCACGACAAGAAAUACCAAAUUUCCUAAAGCACGAUGUAAAAAACCUAUAACGUUUACCUAACCUAUCACCAUGGAUCCUUCAGGCAAAACAAAUAAACGGUACGAUUAGAAGGAGGAGCUACAAAUUUGGUAGUAAGCUUAAAGUUGAGUUCCUUUCAAUUUCUUCAGCCAUAGAAACCGGACAAGAUCAAGCAGCCUUACAUCUGAGUUUAAACACCCGAAAAUUUGUUUGCCAUAUUCACAGCCAUGGGAUGAAAGCAACUAAUCCGACCACCAAACUAAAUUUUCCUAAUACCAAGCCAUCCGGGACUCUCCUGAAAACCAAGACACUAAAUCCUACGAGUACGAACAAGAAACUCCUUCGUCUUUUGUGAUGCAAAUUUAAUCCAUGGUGCAGGCGGUGGCAGCGAGGAACAGGUCAGGGCCUCAGUUGUCGUCGUCAUCGACGGUGGACGCCUUGGAGGAAGAGGCCUUCUUGGGGAGGAGGUGCUGGUGGAUGUUGGGCAUCACACCGCCGCUGGCGAUGGUGGCGCCGCCAAGCAACUUGGUCAGCUCCUCGUCAUUGCGCACGGCGAGCUGGAUGUGGCGGGGCACGAUACGUGUCUUCUUGUUGUCCCUGGCGGCGUUUCCGGCCAGCUCCAAGACCUGGGUCAAAGGGGGAGGACGACCAGAUUAGAACAAGCAGCCACCAAUGCAAUGGAUACAUAGGAAAGCACAUCGAUUCCACACCCUAGAAACCUUAUCUUGACGAAUUUGGACAAGAAAAUAACUCCGAUUUCGACGCAUUGCUAUUAACAGACGGCACGGUUCUAAACAGAUCUAAGAAUAGCCCGAUUUGUCGGAACCAACGACCGAACCGGAUCAAGGAAUAGAAUACCGAGAGAACUGGGGCAAGGAUGAGACCCGCGAGAAACGCACCUCAGCGGCGAGGUACUCAAGGACGGCGGCGAGGUAGACGGGGGCGCCGGCGCCGACGCGCUCGGCGUACUUGCCGGCCUUGAGGAACCUUGCGAUCCUUCCCACGGGGAACUGCAGCCCAGCCUUGGAGCUCCUGGACGUCGCCUUCUUGGCCGCGCCGGCGCCGAUUGCCUUCCCACGACCGGCCAUCUCAGCAACCGAGGAGGGGAACGACGGGAGCCGCAACUGGGAGGCGGAACGCGCGAGGGGACAGGAGGCGGUGGAGGCGAGAGAGACGCAGGUGGGAGGUUUCGUUCAGCGCGGGGGGGAAUAUAUAGGAAGGUGGGGACGGGGCGGCAGCCAAUGGGCGGCGAUCACGCGGAUCGCUGGUUUAGGCCGUCGGAUGCGCGAGAUUGGACGGCGGAUGGAACGGAGCCGCGAGGGUUCGGAUCCGGAAGCGGCGGGAGGGCAGGGGCAUAUGGCGCGGGGGAAGGUUUUCGUUUUGGACUUUUCGCGGGAGUCCAGGUCUCUAUGGGAAUCGACGGAGUGGUCACGUGUUUUAAUUUUUUAUAUGGCCCACUUGUCGGUGUUAUUUCUUCUGCAGUAAAGAUGGGUGCUUGGUCCACCAAUAAUGUAACACUAGAUCGGAAUCGCGCCUUGGCGCAAGGGUGCCGGUGUCAACGUUUUGAUCAAGCAGGUAAUGCUAAGUAGUAGUAAUUCACGUUAAGCGUGUGUUAUUAAAUUUAUUAUCACUAAGCGUGCCAUGGCGCUCAGAUAAUUUGAUUUCAUGCCCAUGAUAAAACAAAAGUAUUUUAGCUUGUUCAAGAGCAACAGGACAUGAAGUUCAGUGUAGAAGAGUAGAGCCAGUGGCAGUGAGAUUACAGGUGCAUAGAAAGUCACAUGUCAUAGGACACAUAGUUUUACAUGACAAACACAAUAGUUAAUCCAUUAAAACAUGACUAACACAGUAGUUAAUCCAUUGAAAUACAUACUACUGGGCAAAAGAAAGCAUCAAUUACAUCUUAGAUAAGAUAGUAACUUAGAUAGCUAGCUCGAUGUACCAUUAUAUUUGACUUAGUCAGACCCUAUAUAUAGAGAGAGAUUUGAAAGCUGUGGAUCACAAAUAGAAUUGGUGAUGGCUACUACACAUGGGACAUAGAUAUAUUGCAAAAUGAUUUCGCAGACUGAUGUAUCCUUCCUUCUGAUUGGCCAUGUUGACCGUUUCAAAUAAAUCUUUGCGUGCAGUGUAUGCAAAUUCGGUCCUAGCGUGUUCGCUGUCAAAUUGUUUAGACAACAAAAAAAUGAGUUAUCCUUCUUGAGUAAUCACCACCCAAGAUCCAUACACAUAUUUUAGAAUAUACCUUGUCUCUAUGGAGUGUGGUCAUCCGCCGCAGUUUGCAUUUCAUGGAAACAUAGCUGUCAGGGGGUGCUAUACAUGAGAUUUAUUAAUGGGCUCAUGAAGAACCAAAUGAAACAAUCCGAGGAAGUGUCACACACCGACAUUUCAUCGAGCGACUUGGAUCCAGCAGCGGUGGAGAGAGAGAGAGAGCACACUUGUCAAAGGCCUUCAUUGUCCACUUCUGGGGACGCGACCUGGUCCAAGACGGCAUGGUCCUGCUUCCACCGCUGCUCGUGCUACUGAGUGAUGGGGAGGCAACAACUGCUUUGAAAUGUCGUGGUGGAGGAAGUGGCGAAAGCUCUCCUCUCCAUGCGCUCUUUCAUCGACGGCAACACCUUCAGCCGGUCGGAGCAGUGUUUCCCAGAAGUCUCAAUGGUGGGUACCUCUCUGCGAAUCAGCGAGAACUUAUUUAUUAAUAGCAUCUAGUAUAACAAAGGUUUUGUAUAAAAACCAAUGGAUAUACAAUAGAAGCAAAGCGAUGUGGGAAGAUAUGGCCGCCAAGUAAUUUUAGCUGAACAAAAGGAAAAAUCCUCAACACUCAAAUAUACUUAAGUUUUUAGUCUCUCUAUCAGAUUGCACACAUGAGCAUAGACAUUUGGCCCAUAUAUCUAAGUACUAAAUCUUAUCCAUAUAAAAUAAGGCGGUUCUUACCACAAAGUCAAUCUUGAUGCCAUUACAACAAAUAGCCGUAUGUAGCUGCUUUUGCACAAACUAAGUACCAGCACAUAUAUACUCUUACUCUUGAUAUGAAAUAAUCAUAUAGAGAGACAAAUGACGUACUUUCUCAUUUCAACAUGGAUUAAUCACAGAUCAUCCCAAAACGUGUAGCUCAAGAAUAUAAAGAAUAUGUGCAUCCAAAAGAAAAAUCAAGUAGGUCGCAAAGUACCACAUGUACCACCAGUGACACAUGCGCAUAUCAAAUAAUCACAGGCUAGCAGAUAGUAGAGAAUAAAUUAUGCACGUGCAACAACAGCGCUAAUCCAAGUUGGUCGCCUGAUGGUAAACGUGCUGGUCUGGAAGCAAACCAAGGAUGACCUGCUCCCAAGAUCCAUAGCAAAGCUCAUGUUCAGAAAGGAAAUGGACUACUAAUACCUGCAUUAAUAUGCACAAAAGUUUAUAUUUUGUGCGAAAAGAGAAUUCAAUUCAUAAACUGUAAACACUUAUGAGUGAAACUUAAAUAGUCCGUCCAAUGAUUCUUAACAGCAAUCCACUUCUGACAUUUAAAUCCUAACUAAUCAGGGUAAUUGUUCUUUUCUGACAAAAAAAGGGUAAUCAUUCUUAAUAGCAACACACAACUACAAAAACAAGAAAAAUUUUAGUAAUUCUAACAGGCAUGAAUGAAUAGCAAAAAGGGAACAGGACAGAGAGAUACACACAUAGAGCGUGAGGCAUGAGAUCAUCACAAUAGCACCCCAUGUUCAACGAAUUGCAGCUCUGGCUUACCGCUCACACUGCAUCCACGACUCUGUUGGUUCACUAUAUGGAGCAGCAAAAAAAGGGGGUCAGAGCUGUGUGCAUGGACAUCUGUGACAUAUGAACCUGGGAUGAAGUACCUGAAUGCACGCGCAACGCGAGUAUAAAGGCUGAUGACCCCAGUAGAGCAGCGGCAUGAGCCGCGACCUGCGGUUCUCCAGUCGACGGAGACGGCACCCAUCAGCGCUAUCGUGCUUGACCCCCACGCACACGCUGUCGCUACAGUUCACCUACGAGAGAGCCCGGGAGGAGGCGCCUCGAAUCAAACACAUUAAGAAAAGGAUCCGCUCAUGAACGAAAAGUCACUCUAAUGGGCUAUUACAACAAAAAUAGACUACAUUUAAAUUAAAAUGGGGCUCAUCAUCGCUUCCUCAUAGUUCGUAGGGUCAUCAUGGUCUAGUAACAUGACUUCAAAAUAGGAUUACCGUACUACUCUGGUGCGGAUCUUAAUCUGGAACAUCUACAAAUUUUGGUAGCAACUUAAUCUGAAGUUUCAUGAUCAUCAUCAUUAGAUUCCUCACUAAUUGGUGUAGGAAUCACUGGAACUAAUUUCUGUGAUGAACUACUUUCCAAUUCGGGAGAAGGUACAAUUACCUUAUCAAGCUCUACUUUCCUCCCACUCACUUCUUUCGAGAGAAACUCCUUCUCUAGAAAGGAUCUAUCUUAGCAACGAAUAGCUUGCCUUCGGAUCUGUGAUAGAAGGUGUACCCAAUAGUUACCUUUGGGUAUUCUAUGAAGACGCACUUCUCCAAUUUGGGUUCGAGCUUAUCAGGUUGAAACUUUUUCACAUAAGCAUCGCAGCCCCAAACUUUAAGAAACGACAACUUUGGUUUCUUGCCAAACCACAGUUCAGAAGGCGUCGUCUCAAUGGAUUUUGAUGGUGCCCUAUUUAAAGUGAAUGUGGCUAUCUCUAAUGCAUAACCCCAUACGAUAGUGGUAAAUCGAUAAGAGACAUCAUAGAUCGCAUCAUAUACAAUAAAGUGUGGUUACGACGUUCGGACACACCAUAACAUUGUGGUGUUCCAUGUGGCGUGAGCUGUGAAACUAUUCCACAUUGUUUUAUAUGAAGGCCAAACUCGUAACUCAAAUAUUCUUCUCCACGAUCAGAUCGGAGAAACUUUAUUUUCUUGUUACGAUAAUUCUUCACGUCACUCUGAAUUUCUUUGAACAUUUCAAAUGUUUCAGACUUGUGUUUCAUUAAGAAGAUAUACCCAUAUCUGCUCAAAUCAUCUGUGAAGGUCAGAAAAUAACGAUACUUGCCAUGAGCAUCAACACUCAUUGGAUCACAUACGUCGGUAUGUAUUAUUUCCAAUAAGUUAGUAGCUCGUUCCAUUGUUCCGGAGAACGGAGUUUUAGUCAUCUUGCCCAUAAGGCACGGUUCACAAGCAUCAAAUGAUUCAUAAUCAAGUGAUUCCAAAAGUCCAUUUUUAUGGAGUUUCUUCAUGUGCUUUACACCGACAUGACCCAAACGGCAGUGCCACAAAUAUGUUGCAUUAUCAUUAUCAACUUUGUAUCUUUUGGCAUCAAUAUUAUGAAUAUGUGUAUCACUACGACCGAGAUCCAACAAACUAUUUUCAUUGGGUGUAUGACCACUGAAAGUUUUAUUCAUGUAAACAGAACAACACUUAUUCUCUGACUUUAAAUGAACAACCGUUUUGCAAUAAACAUGAUCAAAUCAUAUUCAUGCUCAACACAAAUGCGAAAUAACAUUUAUUUAGGUUUAACACUAAUCCCGAAAGUAUAGGGAGUGUGAGAUGAUGAUCAUAUCAAUCUUGGAACCACUUCCAACACACAUCGUCACUUCACCCUCAACUAGUCUAUGUUUAUUCUGUAACUCCUAUUUCGAGUUACUAAUAUUAACAACCGAACAUGUAUCAAAUACUCAGGAGCUACUAUAAACACUAGUAAGGUACACAUCAAUAACAUGUAUGUCAAAUAUACCCUUGUUCACUUUGCCAUCCUUCUUAUCCACCAAAUAUUCAGGGCAUUUCCGCUUCCAGUGACCGUUUCCUUUGCAGUGUAAGCACUCAGUUUUAGGCUUUGGUCCAGUUUUGGUCUUCUUCACGGGAGUGACAACUUGCUUGCCAUUCUGCUUAAAGUUCCCUUUCUUUCCCUUUGCCCUUUUCUUGAAACUAGUGGUCUUGAUAAUCAUCAACACUUGAUGCUUUUUCUUGAUUUCUACCUUCGUCGAUUUCAACAUAGCGAAGAGCUCGGGAAUCGAUUUUGUCAUCCUUGCAUACUAUAGUUCAUCACGAAGUUCUAGUAACUUGGUGAUGGUGACUAGAGAACUCUGUCAAUCACUAUCUUAUCUGGAAGAUUAACUCCCACUUGAUUCAAGUGAUUGUAGUACUCAGACAAUCUAAGCACUUGCUCACUAGUUGAGCAAUUCUCCUCCAUCUUUUAGGCGAAGUAUUUGUCAGAGGUCCCAUACAUCUUGACAUGGGCAUAAGUCUGAAAUAUCAAUUUCAUCUCAUGGAACAUCUCAUAUGUUCCGCGACGUUUCAAAAACGUUUUUGUAGUCCCGGUUCUAAGCCAUAAAGCAUGGUGCACAAAACUAUCAAGUAGUCAUCAUAUUGAGCUAGCCAAACAUUCAUAAUGUCUGCAUCUACUCCUGCAAUAGGUCUGUCACCUAGCGGUGCAUCAAGGACAUAAUUCUUCUGUGCAGCAAUGAGGAUAAACCUCAGAUCACGGACCAAGUCCGCAUCAUUGCUACUAACAUUUUUCAACUUAGUUUUCUCGAUGAACACAUAUAAAAACAUAGGGAAGCAAAAACACGAGCUAUUGAUUUACAACAUAAUUUGCAAAAUACUACCAGGACUAAGUUCAUGAUAAAUUAAAGUUCAAUUAAUCAUAUUACUUAAGAACUCCCACUUAGACAAACAUCUCUCUAGUCAUCUAAGUGAUCACGUGAUCCAAAUCAACUAAACCAUGUCCGAUCAUCACGUGAGAUGGAGUAGUUUUCAAUGGUGAACAUCACUAUGUUGAUCAUAUCUACUAUAUGAUUCACGUUCGACCUUUCGGUCUCCGUAUUCCGAGGCCAUAUCUGUAUAUGCUAGGCUCGUCAAGUUUAACCUGAGUAUUCUGCGUGUGCAACUGUUUUGCACCCGUUGUAUUUGAACGUAGAGCCUAUCACACAUGAUCAUCAUGUGGUGUCUCAGCACGAAGAACUUUCGCAACGGUGCAUACUCAGGGAGAACACUUCUUGAUAAUUAGUGAGAGAUCAUCUUAUAAAGCUACCGUCGAACUAAGCUAAAUAAGAUGUAUAAAAGAUAAACAUCAUAUGCAAUCAAAAUAUGUGACAUGAUAUGGCCAUGAUCAUCUUGCGCCUUUGAUCUCCAUCUCCAAAGUACUCUCAUGAUCUCCAUCAUCACCGGCAUGACAACAUGAUCUCCAUCAUCUUGAUCUAUAUCAAUGUGUCGUCACAUGGUCGUCUCGCCAACUAUUGCUCUUGCAACUAUUGCUAUCGCAUAGCGAUAAAGUAAAGAAAUUAUUUGGUGCUUGCAUCUUAUGCAAUAAAGAGACAACCAUAAGGUUUCUGCCAAUUGCUGAUAACUUCAACAAAACAUGAUCAUCUCAUACAACAACUUAUAUCUCAUGACGUCUUGACCAUAUCACAUCACAACAUGCCCUGCAUAAACAAGUUAGACAUCCUCUACUUUGUUGUUGCAAGUUUUACGUGGCUGCUACGGGCCGAGCAAGAACCGUUCUUACCUACGCAUCAAAACCACAACGAUAGUUCGUCAAGUUAGUGUUGUUUUAACCUUCUCAAGGACCGGGCAUAGCCACACUCGGUUCCACUAAAGUUGGAGAAACUGACACCCGCUAGUCACCUGUGUGCAAAGCACGGCGGUAAAACCAGUCUCGCGUAAGCAUACGCGUAAUGUAGGUCCGGGCCGCUUCAUCCAACAAUACUACCGAACCAAAGUAUGACAUGCUGGUAAGCAGUAUGACUUGUAUUGCCCACAACUCACUUGUGUUCUACUCAUGCAUAUAACAUCUACGCAUAAAACCAGGCUCGGAUGCCACUGUUGGGGAACGUAGUAAUUUCAAAAAAAAUCCUACGCACACGCAAGAUCAUUGUGAUGCA